rnacentral:lncRNA from 1 species
GGAUGUCUAGGGCAGUCCCAUUUUUGGUUCAUAAAAUUUAGGAAGGGGAUUUUGUGAAAAAAAAAGAAAAAAAAAAAGGAAGAAGAAGAAAAAUACAGUAAUUUUUAAAAAUAUUUAUUAAAAUAUGUUCUUGUUGAAACUAUUUUUAAUUUAUAGUAUUUUUUUUAUAACAUUAAUUGGAAGUUGUUUUUUUAAAAUAUAACUUAAAUUUAAAUAUGAAAAUUAUUUAAAAAAAAUAUAUAUAUUUAAGAAACAAUAUUCAAAUGGGCUUGUUGAAAAUAAUUUUAAAAGUAUCAAAUUUAAAUAUAAGAUUUUUAAAAUUGUCGUAUUUUUUUUUCCAAAAUCCGGGUAUACCACACGCAUCCACUAGUGGGGUUUAUUUUAUUUUAUUAUUUAUUAUUUUUUAUUUUGUCCUCCCAUGCCCACGUAGAAAUUAGGAUGUUUGAUAUAAUGCUGGGUGGUAGAAUCUGGGGUAUCCAGCUGAAGACAGAACAAGAAAAUUGGAAAUUGGGUGCCUGGCGAUGAUGGGAUCGAGUUCUCUCUCUCUCUCUUUCUCUCUUUCUCUCUUUCUCUCUCUGGUAGCAUUGCUGGAUUAUAUAAGAAGUAUGAUUAAAUGUGGGUUGGGAGAGAAGCAAUUACACACAACAGUUGUCCAUUGGAAAAAGUACAUCUUCAAACUUCAAUUUGCUUUCACAUCACCAACUCCUUUUCUCUGCCCCUCUAUUUAAUGCUUAAUGGCUUGGUGAAUAUAUGAUAAAGUAUUAGAGUGAUUUGAUAUAAUUAAAAUCAUGGUCGUGCUCUUCUUUCUAAAAUGAAAAUUUCUUCAGCUAAACUCCCUCCGCUUUUAUCUAUUUUUUGUGCAUAUAUACACAUUUUCCUUUCCUUUUUCUGCACUGUUUUGCUAAAAGUAAAAUAGAAAAAGGGAUAGCAGAGGGAGGAAAAGGUGGUGGUAGCAGCAAAGAAGACAAGAGUAUUUGGGUCAAAAUGCCAAAUAUUUUUCAGGUUGUGAAUUUCUAAAUAUAAUAUCAAAUCGGCAAAGAUAUUGCUUUUAUUAUUUUACAAAAGGUGUUUUGAGGUGACAUUAACAUUAAAAAAAAAAAAUCUAUUUUUUAUUGUUUCAAAAAGUGAGGACUAUUUUUCCAAAAUAUGGAUUAAUUUGAUCAUUUUAAUCAAAUAUAUUCUCUCUUUUUUUUCAACUACCAUUUUUACGUGUAUUUUCGAAAAGGGUUUAAAUGGGUUGUUAUUAUUAUUAUUAUUAUUAUUAUAAAUGAAAGUAAAAACGUAUGUUUGUGUGGUUGGGACUUAAAGAGGGGAAAAAGGUAUAGCUUGAAAUGGAAAUAGUGGAAGAGAUGCUGACAACAUUUUGUGAUUAAUGGUUUGGUGAUAAACAGAAGGAGGAAAAUGAGGGUAGAAGAGAAAAGCAAGUCAAAGAAAUUAGGCAGGGCCAAGAACUCCAAAAAGACGUCUGCACACUGCACCAUCCUCUAAAAUCGCCCACCGAAUACCCUGGUAUUCUCCCUUCUCUUCCAUGUGUUUUCCAUAUUUCUAUACAAAAUGGGAUAAUGGAGUUGGGCUCAAUUUCCUUUGGGUCCAACACUUUUUCACCCCAACCACAAUAAAUUUCUUUCUUUUAUCAUUUUGAUUUUGAGUCAAAUGCUUUGGACCUUUCUUCUUCGAUGAAUGCUUUGGUCUUACAAAUCAUAAAUAGUAAAAGAAAAUAAAGCAUCUAAAAUCUAUUAUACUUUAAAAAUAUUUCCUUGUCAUGUAAGUAUCAAUUUGGUCUAGGAGUCUUGUGCAUGAAAUAAUUUACAUUUGAGUUUGCUAAUCAAUGUAAAUCAUCUGAUUUUUAUUAUUUAAAAAACAUACAAAUUGUAUUGUGCUAAUUAUAUGAAGAAAAUCUAGUUAAGUUCAUAUGAUCCUCUAAAUAAUCGAAAUCUAGUUCAAUCAUAAUCCUGUGAACACCAAAUAAUUGUUAUUUUAAUGACUGUUAACACAUUUGCACAUUUUCUGGGUAGAAACUUUUCCUGGAAACCACUAGGGAAAUGCAAAAACAAUCCAAGGUAUCCCAAAAGGCUUUCUUGUUUGAUUAAGGUGGAAAACAAUUUUUCUUGCUCAUCCUCAUUUCCACUGACUAGGGUUUCAUAACCUAGACCCAUGAUCCUUUGUUCGACUUGCUCAUCUUCUCCUCCCACUGUCCCACAACAUAACACUCCCAUCUCAUCCAACACAAGCAUUUUCAGCACAAUAAGCCCAAGGAACAGAUACCCUAUCUUAAAGGACCAUUUUUCCCAACUCAAAAUUGGAGUUAAGCCAAAAUCCUCAUUCACAAUCCCAAGCUGAACCACUUCAUAUAUGCUUCCAACACAGAGUUCAGUGAAUGAGCAGAUUAGGAAACAUAUAGAUAUAUAUCACAUACACUACAGGGAAUUUUCUGCAUAAGAAGCUAAUUUGGGUGUUCCCACUUGUUUUAAAAUGCAGAAUGCAAGGAACAAUGGAGGAGGCGUUCUAGCAUGAGCUCAGAAGCAGGCAAGGUUGAUGACAAUAAAAGAAGCUGCAGAAGAGGGCACAUACAUUGUUGAUGAAUGUUUAUUCCUCUAAUUGGCAAAACAACUCAUGCUUCAUCUCUUUUUCACCCUAUGUCGUAUGUAUUUGCAGAAUAACAAAUUGAACAAAUUGAACUUCUACUUGACAUGCUAUGAAAUUAUACACCUAUUAUAGCUGGGAGAAAAGCAUCAAAUGAUAUCCACAUUACUCUGAAAAUCAACUAGACUGUGGGGUUCAACAAAUGGAUGCCCUUAUAAGCAUGUGUUGUUAUGCGGCUUGUAUUUAUCAUUAUAUAAACAGGAUUGGAGCAAUUUUUUUCCUUCGUUAAAUUCACCCCCUAUGGUGAACCCCUAUUAAGGAUUUGUGAUCACAUCUGAACUAUGGCUUGAACCCUGGAGAAUUAUUAUGACACUCUAUUAUGUGUCAACAAAAAAACUAGCAGUCCCCGGAAAAAGGUUGCAGAUUUCGUGCUACUUCUUUGCAACUAACCUGCACAUUAUAGUUUUUCCUUUUCAUCCAUUAUUCCAUGGUACUAACCCUCUUAGCUUCUCUAAACCAGUUUUUGUCAUGCUCAAACCCUAGGCCUCUCUACUCUCCCUCCUUACCAACUUCUGAACUGACUUGCCUUAUGAUUCAACUUUCAGUUUGGUCUUAAGAGCACUAGCAUAAAAUAGUAGUAUCAAUCCCAGGAUAAGAAAAUCUCCUAAACAAUAUGCAGCUAGGUAGCUACUUGAAGCUGAAGCAACAUUUGCAGCAAUCAAAAAAGCAUGAGAACUAAAGAAUGUUGAAGUUCAGCAGAACAAAAUGGGCUAAAGUCAAAGGCCAGGCAGUUCUAUUAACAGAGAUACCUUCACAAAUGUGAACAUUCUUUUUUUCUUUACAAGAAAAGCACAAAAAGUAAUGUGGGUUUUACCUUUUCAGUGGCUUAUAAAGGACAACAGUGACAUACUUGGACUGAAACCUAUUGGUAAGACCCAGAGCAACCACAGACUGAGAAGCCCAUCCCUUCUCUAUGAAAAGGUGGUUAAGGACAACAUGUUGAGGCUUUGAACAGGAAGGUUCUUCCGAGUUUGGCAUACCAAGGACAGUCAAAUGCAGCUGGGGUGGAACUAGUACUGGCUCCUUGGCAAAAUCUUCCUCUGCCGGGAAUGCUUGACUGUAGCUAGAGUUUGGUGAUGGUGGAGCUUCAAACUCUGCCACACUCUCAAGGUUCUCUGGCACAUAGUCCUACAUGGAAUUGCAAAGUUAAAUAAGAAUUUGAAAUACUAGUGCAUAGAAAAAAGUAAAGGCAAGCUUUAUCCAUGCCCGAUAAAGCUUUUAUUGGUUCAUGAAAUUUCCUCAUGCUUACAAGGGGCUGUGCCAUAAAGGAAACAAACUCUCAGGUAGAAGCAUAAAGUAUUAAUGCAUAUAUGCAUGAGAGAACACAAGUACAUGUCUCUCUCUCUCUCUCAAAUAUUAUACACACCCAUUGAGUUAUGAAAUGCACACAAUAUGCACAUUCAAUCCUGCAUUUGAAGCAGACAAGCAGGGGAGAAAAGAUAUGAGAAGCCAACACACUCCCAUCCCCAUCCAAAGCAGCUCCUCCCUCAUCGUCCUCUAACUACCAUCAAGCAGUGAUUUUUGUUACUCAUAAAACCACAUUCUAUGAUAUUUUCUUAUGCUUAGACAGGUCUACUACAAAGAAAACAAAAUCAUGAGAAUAAACAUACAACAUUUAUGUUUGUGUGUGUGCACACACAUGUACAUGUGCAUGUCUGCACAUGAGAGAGAGAAAGCACCUGCCUGUGCAUAACUUUAGUGCAGCUAUGGAACACAUGCAAUUACACACUCAGUUCCAUGCUUGCAAGCAGACAACAUGGGAGAAGAUAUGAAAAGCCUGACCUACCCCCAUCACUAUUUCCACAAGCUUCAACUAUUUCUAGGUCACUGUUCUAUUAGGUCUAGAAACUUUUAACACCAAAAUUGGAGUUAGAUCAAAAUCCAAGUAUACAUAAGCAAACCAGAAAGCAAAAAUCCUUACAUUGACAUCAAGAAGAUUGCAAACACGUCCCAUCUCAUCAGCUAUGAAAGGAAGAUCUGGAAUGUAUCUCCAUUCUCCAUCCACAAUAAACUUGUAAUGGUACACACCUGAAGGCAGGACCAAGAGAAUGGAGUGAUCCUUGCCUGACCGUUGCAGUGUCUUCCUGCAUGCAGAUAAAGUUACUAGUAGAAAUUUAAGCUUUCUGUAUUUGGAUUUUUUCAAUAACAAUAAUAUUAGCUUCUAAUUUCUCCCAAAUAUGAUCAAACCCACAAUCAUAAUUAGCAGUUGACCAUGAUGUACCUUGAUGUCCAGUUGUCCCAAGAUCCUUCCACAGCCACAUCAUUACCACCAUAGUUCCAUGCAAUCAUGAUGGGGAUUCCUUGCUCAGGAGGAUGUUCGACUCCUCCUUGAGGUUCAUUCUGCCACAUUUGAUUCAAAGAUGCAGGGCCAUCUCUCCUUUGGAGGGGAGCUAUUGGAACCUGCAAAACAUGCUCAUCGGUUGGGAAGAAAAAUUCUUAAUUUAUAUGUACUGAAUAGACAUCCAGUUUUAUUUCUAAUAUCACCUUUCAGUUAUUUAUCAACCUUUUAUUCAUUUAUCAACUUAAUUAAUAGACAAAAAUAAAAUAAAAUUACAUUACUAAGGACCUAAAAAAAUGUGGGUGCAACCCAAGUGCAAAGGAAGUGCACUAUGAGCAACAACACAGCAAUACAAAACUGAAAAGACAGUACCAUCUUUAUCCUUUUAUAGGUAAAACAACUUAUUUAUGAGAUAUUACUGGGCUAGCCUCCUCCAUGGAUUGGAUAAAAUCUCAAGUAAAAACCAAAAGACUCCAAUUAAAAGAGGAGGAGGAGAAGAAGAAGGCCUCUCCAUCCAUCAGAUAAAAUAGAUGUAACCCUCAAAUAAAAAACCAAAAGACUCCAAUAAAAAAAGAAGAAGAAGCUGCCCAUACAACAAAGUAUGUAAAUUAAGAUCAUGCAGUACGGUCAGACUGAAAAUAAAUCAAAGACUGGCUAAUGUUAACAGAAGAAUAACUGCACAAAUAAGAACAGUCUGCUACAAGACAAUCUUUGGGUGGAACCUUUGGAUGUCACAUAAAAUUGAGUGAGUGCUGCAAUUUGUAUAGAAUUUGAAAUCAUUCCAUUAAGUUUGUGAUGGUAUUAAAUGAAUUCAUUUGUAUUUACACUAGAGUAGUUUAGAAUAGAAAAAUCAAUCUUAUUAUUUCAAAAACAAAACAAAAAGAAGAGCUCAUUCCUAGUUUUCUUUGGUAAUCAGAGAUGUCUCUGGUCACACCACUAGUUUUCUUUGGCAUCAUUGCUAUCCACUAGUUUUCUUUGGCAUCAUUGCUAUCCACUAGUUUUCUUUGGCAUCAUUGCUAUGUCUAGAGAGCAAUGAUGCUCCUUUUUAUGGAUACGGUACUCAGCUAACCACGUAGUCAACGGUUCGCCUGAUGACUUUAUGGGGGGAUUUCAUUCCUCUUCAGGAGGUUACUUUUUUUGGAGCUUUGUUUCUUUUAUCAUAUUCCAGACUUCCUCUUCCUUCUCAAACAAACCUACACCACCAAUUAGCUGACAUAACAUACGGAACACAAAUACCGAAUGAUGAAAACAAUAGGGACCAUAGACUUAAACUCAUCCCAUGAUGUAUAAGUAGGUGAUUGGUGGAUUCCUCAAACCUUUUGCACAAGCAAUGCUGACUGGCUAGUGUCAUAACCUUUCUCCUAAUUUGAUUCAAAGCAGGAAUUUUAUCCCAAACCCUUGAACACUGGAAACACAAGCUAAUAUUUAAACCUAGAGCCUUAUAAUAAAUUAAACUUUAACAUCUGCAGAUAAAUUCCCACUAAUUUAUUCUCCAAGUGUGCUGGUACCCCAAAUCCUGAAUAGAACACAAAAAAUGUAACCGCUUCUAACUCCCAAUCAUACAUAUUUGAAUGAAUUUUGGUUUCCUAAUACUAAUCAGUAAUCACGGAUCAGAGACUCUUGAAUCCCAGAGAAGUUACUAAAUUCAAAACCAAAUCAGAAUUUGGUUAAUUUAUUACUAGAAUGCAUAUUCAGGCAUAGGCUCCAUCUCCUACUAAAUAAGAAACUUCCAUUACAAGUUUUUAUUAAAAAAACCCAAGAAGGAAAGAAGAAAAGUUAAAAUUGCCCAAAACUCCUAGUUUUGAAAUAAAACAACCAAACAAGAAUUCCUUAAACCUUCUAAAGAUGGAAACAUAAAAUGAAAAUUUCCAAGAACAACAAUUUCCAUCUAAAUCUUUAAAUUUGAUUAGGAUGCAGCUGCCAUGAAAGGUAAACGUAUUGUUGAACUUGCAGAGGAGUUCAACAUCGUGGACCCCAUAAAGCAUCAUUCAACCAUAUCUAAAUUUUAUAUUCAAACUAACUCAGUUGGGCAUGUUACUUAAUCCUCUACUGCUUGCAAUACCCCAAUUCCUCCUCUGACACCCGUCGUAAAUCAUCUGGUUUACAAACGAAGUACAUUGAAUUUCUGCAAAAUUACAGCACUUUAUUACAUAUCCUACAAACCAGGGUGAGUAAUGUCAUUGAACAUGUCUCAAGCUGACAAUAACGAUAAAAUUUCACAUGGAUGGAGUACGUAAACAACAUAUCCUUCAACACGGGAACACAGGGAGUAACGGCAUUGACAAGUUGAGUAAUGUCAUUGCAAAUCAUCCCAAUCUAACAAACACCAACAAAUUCACGAUUUCCUCAUCAUAUAUCUACCACUUUUCAAAGAAAAAAGACCUUGAAUUACGAUCACCUAUAAUUUCUAACAAUUUAUCUCCUACAAGUAUACAUACAAAUAAUAACUCCAAAAUUUUCAGAAUUAAAAGUUCCAAAUCUGACAUUUUCUUCACCAAAUAAAUUAAACAUAACUGGUAAUAAUUAAGGAAAAUCACACGAAGCAAGAGCUUUAUUUUUUCACGUUAAUGUAGUUUCCAAAGAUACUGUUCAUGAAUACAAAUCCAUAUUCCUCAAUAACAAUAAUAAAUGCCAUACGAGUAGUUAAUUAAUCAAACCAGAUUCCACAAUCGUUCACUCAGAUUCACAAUUCAUAUAGCCAAUCACAAUCCACAAGAAACGUCCCUUCGAUUGCUGAGAAACGACAGGAGAACGGAAGGAAAUCCGGAAUCUUAGCCGCAGCCGAUUAAACCAGUCUCUAUUCCCCCUGCUAUAAUUUUCUCAGCAACCAAACAGACACAAAGAAAAAUAGCAAAAACAAAAGAAAAAAAGGGAAGCGAGACCUGAGGAGCGAACAUGAGAGGCGAUCGAGAGCGUCCGGGGCUCUGAGGAGGCGUGUUCCCCAUUGAAUCGGAGGAGGCGACGCGGGCAGGGUGGGUGGAGUUGGGAGCGUAGAUGUCACGGACACCGGAGUCGCCAUUGGAUCUGGCGGUCGGAUCGUCUCUGAUGUUGGCUACCUCCUCUCGGCCAUUAGCAUUUCCCAUAGCUGCGGUUCUCCCCUUUGUCUGUCAGAUCUAAAAAUGAAAAUGAACCGAAGAGAAGACGAACAAAAAAAAAAGGGCGAGGAUGGCUUGGAAGGAAUGCAGGGCUGGUGGUGGAUUGAGGAGGUGAGUCAGCAGACUGGGUGUAAAGGACACUGGCUUUUCGUUUAUUUACGGAGGUUUGACACUGCCUUUUUCCUCCUUUGAAGAUGCAGAAAAGCGAAGACAGAUGGAUUUGGCAUUCGGGAUGCAGAGAUCGGCGUACUACGUGGAUGGAUAAAUGUAAGACUUUCUUUUUGGUUCCAUCCUAUUCUCUACGCGCUUUCUUUCUCGCUUUUCUCCCACGCUCCAGAGGUACUAAAAAAACUGUUCAAAAAAAAUAUACCCAACAAAAUUUAAAAAAUCUAUUACGAUAAUUGUUUUCAAAAAUGGUUUAAAAACAAUUUUUAAGAACAGUAUUUGAAAACUAUUUUUUAAUUUUUAUAAAACAAAAUUCUAUUUAGAAACCUAAAAUAUUUUAAACUUAUUUUUAAUAUUUUAAAAAAAUAAUUUUUAUAUCUAGUGUUUUAUUUUUAAUCAUUCUACAUAUUUAUAUAAUUAUUUUUUUAAACAGCUCAAAAAACAAGUGAAAAAAAAUAUAUAUAUUGUCUAAAAACAUCAUGUUUUCUGUUUUUAAGAACAUAAAAUAGAAAACAAUUUUUGGUUGUCAAAUGCGUUUUUCUAUUUUUUGGUUUUGAAGAAUAGAAAAUUGUUCUCAAAAGCAAUUUUUGAGGACAAGAAUGAUAGUGAUUCAUCCCAAACUCAUCUUUUCGUUGUGAUUUUUUAAUUUUUUUAUUUUAUAGUAAUAAUUUUUUUUCUUUGUUUAUUAUUACUUCCAUUGGGUAGCAUUAACUUUGAAUUGAAUUAAGCAAAAUACAACAAAUCAUGUACCUUUUAUACAUAUUGGAUUAUUGUUUUCCUUGUAUAUAAUGUUUUUAAUAUGAUAUAAAUAUCCAUAUCUAAAAAUAAUUAAACGUGUCAUCCUCAAAAAUUAUUUUAAGGAUUUUCUAUAUUUGAUAAAGGAAAGUCUCGGAGUGUGUUGGAUGACCAUCAAAUACAAUAAGAUCACCAUCCAAAAAGCAUGUUCUUGAGUCAUGGAACUAUCUAAGGGGAUGAAUUGGUAAUCCAAGCUUGUUGCCUAAUUUCAAAUUUUCUUAUUUGUUUUUUUUUUCCAAUUAUCAAGAUUUGAAAACUAUAUUAAAAGAACAUCCAAAUAUUGAAUGCACAAUCCAUGUGAAAACCCUUUACAAAUAUCUCCAUAAGUGUAGAAUCGAGAGUUUACCUAAUCAUAAAUCGAAUCAAGUAACUGGCUAUUAGGUAAUGAUUUUAGGAAAUGUUUUUAAUCUUUCUAAUACUCGAAAAUUUUAAUCAAAAGAGUUGUUUUUAAAUGCUAGAACAACUAGAAACGUUUUUUAAAAUCCAUGUUAAUCAAGCUCUGAAUAUCAAAGAAAAUGUCAUAAUGUUACAUUAUUUGUACACUCCAACUCCCAAAGUCUUAUACCUAUUAAAAGCUACAUUUUUAUUUCACCUCCAAAAGAUAGCACUUUGUAUUCAUUAAUAGAUCACUUCAAAAUCUUGUUAAGACUAGUGGAUACACAUUACCUUUUCACUAAAAGUGCUUUUGAGACUCAUUCUUGAAAGGUUUUAACAGUUUGAAGUAUAAGGCAAAACUUCAAAUAUUUAUAAACAAACCCUAAAAAUUUAAUUGAAUAUAUGAUGACAUAUUUUAGCAAAACAAUGAAUAAUUAAAAAAAAUGUGAUUUUUGCUCAAAAUAUCUCAAAUGUUCAAACUAUCUCAAGGGACAUAUUGGAACUAUCAUAGGUUGUUCAUGUUGUCUCUAAAAGGGCAUUUGAACUGCCUAGGGGCAUUUGAAACGUGUCUUAAAGAAUUUGGAGCCUUAGAAGGACACUUGAAUUGUUCCUUUUGCAUGUUUUAGUGUCCAUUUUUCUACAUUUCCAAUUUUUAAAAUGACUAGGAAAGGUCAUUCCAGGCUCUAGAUCAUUAGGGUGCAUGCAAAACUAUCAUAAAAAUAUUUAAAUCUACACAAUGGAAGCAUUAGAGAUCUAGGAAUAUGAAAACAAUACUUGUGAUUAUAAAUGUACCUAGAUCGAUUCCAGUCAUUGAAAAGGUUAGCAUGGAUCUUGAAUACCUCACAAUCUUCCUCCCUAUACUAGACUUAGGGACACUACAACAUAUUUGGCAAAUCCAAAUACUAGUUUUUUUUUUUUUUUUUUUUUUCCAAAAAUCCAAUUUUACCAAAAAAAUGUCUAUAACAUAAAUUAGGAUUAGAAACAUUAAAAACACUAAAAUACCCUUAAAACCCUAAAAAUGGCUCAUUUGUCACCUAUAGCACUAUAAGCAAUGCUUAAGUGUUGAAAAUCUACUUGAAUGCUCGAUGAGGGUGCUUGAGUGUCAAUGACCACUUGAGUGUUGAUCUGGGCUCUUAAGCCCUACUGCUAUAACUUUGAAUUCGAGAAGGAUUCAUGUGCUUUUUCAAUCGCUUCUUUAUCAUAAAUCUUACAUUUUUGGUUAGAUUUGUGCACCAUGAAUGGAUCUAAACACUCAGAUUAUGAUCUUCCUUUUGUUGGGUUACAAAAAUGGAUCAAAAGAUUUAUUUAGUGGAAUUUAACAUAUACUCAUAGUGAGAUAGAGUAUGUCAUUUGAUCAUAUAAUAAGAGGAUUUGCAACUUAAGGAUGGUAUAGAUGAUUGUGAGAGGUCAAUAGCUUUCACCUUGUUAGAUUAUGGAUACCAAUUCAUGGGAGACUAUAUAUAGUGGAUAGCAAGUCACAAACCCGAGCACUUAGUGUCUCAUUGUUAUAUACAUAUAAUACUAGAGUGUAGUUGGACUCUUUGUAAUGGGAUAUUAAUUUAACUUCAAAAUUGGAUUUUGAGUGAGUCGAUAUAGUCUUAUAGGUCUCAAUGGUCCUUGUUUGAGCUCAUAUCCCUUGAUAACACAAUUUAUAAGGGUUGAAUGAGUUUUUAGUUCACUUGGAUGCAUAAGAGUGCUUUAGUAAUUAUGCAAGGUUAUAUAAUGGUAGGUGAACGGUAUCUCUAGAAUAGGCUAAUUGAUUAUUUGGAGCUCUAUUAGGUUAGUUAGUCAAUUAGUAAGCUUUUAGACUAAAUCAAGUAACUAAAGCCCAUAGUGGACUCAAGUCACUUAAGCUCAAGCCUAUAAAUACCCCUCUUAGGGGUUGACGUUUUAGUCUUGUUGUCUUCCUUCAAUCUAGAAAGAGAAUCUUAGCCCCCAUACCUAAAAUUUCCAUCAUCUCAGUGCCUGGACUAAAAAAGGAGUUGUCAAGUGGAAGACUAUUGAAUUUACGAGAUCAUAUGUAGUAUUGGAGCAUUCUACAUCAACAAGAAUCGAUCUAGGAACAUCUAGAUCGUAGAUAUGGUACUAAUCUCUAAAUCUUUUAUACAUAUUUUGGUUUUAAAUGUCAUGUUUCCAUUGUGUGAUAAAUCUAGAGAGCCUACAAUAGGAUUUCAUGCUCCCUAAUAAUCUAAAGUAAGGGAACAUAGUAAUCCAAGGUUUCCAACAUAUAGGCAUCAAGGAUUUUGACGUAAUGUUUCAAAGUUACUUGGGAUAGAAAAUCAUACAUAUUGUUAUUGUCAUUUGAAGAAAAACCUCACUAACUUCUUCAAUAGGCAAAACAUUCAAGAAAAAAAAAGUAAGGAAGAUGUUUAUGUGCUUCUAGAUAGCAUUGUGUAUGUUAGAUUAGAUAUAAACUACAAAUGGGCUCUUGCAAAACUUGUGUGCUUCAAUGAGGAUCUAACAAGGUGGAUUACAUAAAACAACCCCAAACAUUAGGUGAUGACAAAGUUCCCAAAAAAAUAUUGGGAUAAAAUGACCACCAAUAUUGCGAAGUUCUUCAAUGCAUGGUUAAGAGAGAAGUGUUAACAAAUAAUUUAUUCAUUAUUGUUGAUGCACAUGCAUAAGCUUGUGGCCAUGUUAGACAACUAUAUUAGUGAGACUGAAAAUUGGAAGAGUUUGGUUGGACCAAAAACAAAGGAGAAGCUAAUGUUAAAUAUUAUGACAUUUGGUUUGAUUAUUGUCACACCAUAUUUGGGGAGAAGCAUUUGAGGUGUUUAUUAAGGAGGUUUAUUUGGUUGUGGAUAUGAACCAACGUUUUUGUAUUUGUAUGACAUGGCAAAUGUUUGGAUUUCCAUGCUUAUUUUAUUAUUCGCACAAUGAAAGAAGAUAUGUAAGAUAUGUUGAAACAUGUUACAAGGUGUCCACGCAACAUUUGAUUUACUCAAGUUAAUUUGGAUGGAAGUGUACAAGAUGGAUAAGGUCAAUGGAUAAGGUCAAUCGGUUGAACCGUCAACCGGACCCUGGUCUGGUUCGGUUCAGUUGUUGAGUCGGAAUGGGCUUUGGUUCGGCGUUAAACCAGACGGACCGACGGAGCCAUCGAAUCGGACGAACCGUUCAAUUUUCUAUGAACCAGUCAACAUGUGGGUCAACCAAAACGCCAUUGGGCUUUGCAACAUUGGGCCCAAAAUCUUCCCAAUCUUCCACCCACCAGGCAGGCCUUGCAGCAUUAGGCCCAAAAUCUUCCCAGUCUCCCACCUACUAGGCAGCCCACUCAUCACGCAACUUUCCUCUUCCUUCAAUGAGCAAGUUAUUUAUGGAGCUCAUUAAAUUUGUGAGCUUUCGAUAUGGGAUGUGGGAUUUGAGUAUAAAGAAAAAUAAAUGCUUGCAUUGUGAGGAUUUGAACCUCAGAUCUAAAGUUUAAAAAAGUAAGAGACAACCAUCUUACUGCACAAUUCCUUUAUAAAAUAUGGGUAACAAUAUUUUAUAUUAAUGCUCUUUGCAAUUUUUUAUAAUAAUUAUUAACAAUAAAUAUGAAAAUAAUAUAAAUUAAAUAAUAUAAUUAAAAUAGUAAAAUGCAUAAAUAUGUAGAUAAAAUUAAGUGUUAUAAUUUUCUUCUCAUAUGUAAAUAUUAUAUAUAUUCUAUUUAAUAAAAUUUGAUAUAUUAAUACAUUUACAUUUAUGUUUAUCAAUUAAUAGACAUAUUAAAUACAAAAAAAAUGAAAUGCUAUAAUUUUAUAUAUAUUUAUAUAUUUCUUAAAAUUAUUCUUAAUUUUAAUAAAAUAUAAAUUAUAUAUUUAUGACAUCACCGGUUCGAUCACGGUUUGACCACUGGUCCAACCAGUGAACCGUGAACCGGUAACUUUUCUAGUUCAAUGAUCGGUUCGGUUCUGAAAACAUUGGUUAUAACCAUGAGUGAUUGAAUUUUUAUUUUAAGGAUGUGGACUUACUUGAAUUUAUGUCAUCGAUGGAAACAAAGUUUUGUAAUAGUAUAUUUUCACUUAUUCACUUGCUAUAUUAUAUGGUUCACCAUUCUCCAUUCAAUCUCCUAUUUGAAUAGGGGUUGUUUAUGUUUAUUGCAUGCAAUGGACUCUUUAUAUAAAAUUUUAUUUGAUUAUUGUACAUGUUUCAAUUAUUUAGUGAAGCAAAUCUUGUUCUUGGUCAAGUAUUACUAUACAUGCUUCAAUUCUUUAUUGAAUUGACAUGUCCAUACUGACUUGAUGAUGAAUUUCAUAACGGGGAAAUUGAGUUUUACACCCAUUUGGGCUUGAAAAUUGGCCCAAGAUCCUCAUAUCUUUUGUAUUUGAGCCCAAAACCUAGUGAAUGAGUGAAAAUUGAGUUGAAUGACAUUACUUUUCAAAAUUUCCUGAAAUACCCUUGACUGUAAAAAAGAAAAAGAAAACAACUAACUUCCUAGUCUCUCAUUCUCUUUUUCCCUCUCUCAUAAUUCACCUUAUCUUAUCUUUUUUCUCACAUAUUAAUUGGUGAGACAUGUAAAUUAAUUCCUUAGGGAGGUGUUACUAUUUCCAUUAAUUAUUUUUCUCCCAAAAACCAUGCCUAAUAAAUUGAAUAUUGGAAGUCAAUGAUUAAAAAUGAUUAUUACUACAUUUUUAAAGUAAAUAUUUUUUAAACACCUCAUAAAAUAUUUUUUAAAAAAACUUACAAAAUACAUAAUAAUUAUUUUUUAAACACCUUAAAAAAUAUUAUUUUUCUUUUUUAUCUAAUAUAUAUAUCUUUAACGUUAUAGACAAUUAUUUGAAUAUUUUCUCUAUUUUAUGGACAAUACAUAGAUAUUAUUUUAAUAUAUUAUUUUGUAAUAUGGUUAUCUUUUAACUAAUGGUGAUAAUUAAUUUUUAAUUGAAUAAUGUAUUAUAAUUUAAUAAUUUGAAAAACAUUCAAAUACCCUUUUAAAUCUAAAAUAGAUGUGGACUUGAUAUAAUUUAAAUUAUUAAAACACAAUGCCAUUAAGCCAAGAAAAUGUAUCAUAUCAAGAGAUUUGUAUGUAAUUAUAUCAUAAUUUUCUCUUUUUUUUUUCCUCAUACAUGAUAUCUUUUAUAUAAAGUUUUGUAGAUAAAAACUAACAAAAUCUUUUGUUAUGUAAAGAGGUAUAACAACACAUUAAAAUUAAAAAGAAAAUAUAAUGGAACACAAAUUAGAUGAAAAUCACCUUAAAUAGGGAUAUAAUAGAAAACAUGUAAAUGCAAGAAAAAAAAAAGUUUAGAUGAAAUUUAAAAUAAAAAAUCAAAGAAAAUAAAUUAAAAGUAAUAAUAUAAAAAUCGUAGAAUCUUCAAAACUAUAAUUACAACAAAAAAUUAUUUUAAAUUAACUUGAUAAUUUAUAUUAAUGAUCUUUUUUUAAAAAAAAAUUACAAAUGUUACAAAGAUUAUUUUUUAUCAUUUUUAAUUCCAUUUAAAUAUGAUUUUUUUAAUCUCUACUGACAUUAUGUUUAUAAAGGUAAAAUGGUAAAAAUAUAUAUUCCAUUCAGUUUACUUGUAAUAAACACUUUAAAUGUGAUUAAUUUUAAUUUUAUUUCCUAUGUUUUAAUUUUGGUAGGGAAAAUCUAAAUGACAUAGUUUGGUAAAAAAUAUUGAUAAUUUUUCCUCAAUAGUUAUUAAUAUUAUUUAUAUUGUCUUAAGUCCUUUGAAACAAUGACACUAAUGUAUAUUAAUUUGAUUUCACAAAAAAGGUAAUACCUAAAUAUUAUAGUUAAUUUUCCUUUAUAUAGGAUGUAAAUGUAGUAAGAAAAAAUAUUGUUAAAACUACUUAAAUGAAAUAUGCAAUUACAAAUUUUGGAUGAUGAAAUUUAAAAUUUAAAAUUAAAACAAUUUUUAGGUGAAGGAAUGUGUGGGGGAAAAGUGUUCAAUCCUUAGGUGAAAAAAAAAAAAGUUCAAAAUUGAUUGAAAUCUUGCAUAAAGGGUAGUCUUGUACACCCUUGUAUAAUUAAUACAUUUGCCUCAUACAGUUAGUACAUUUGCCUUGUAUAGUGAGUGUAACACCCUUGUAUAGUUAGUGUAACACCCUUAUACAAUAGUGCAAAUUUCAUAUACAAUUUGUGAGUGACAAAGAAACUAAAAUCUUUCACAAAUGGUAGCCUUGUACGCCCUUGUACACUUAGUACAUUUCCCUUGUACAGUUAGUGUAACAUCAUUAUACAAUGGUGCAAUAUAUCCUUCUUAAGUUGUAUGUCCACGUAGGUAUAUUAACCUUAUUUCUAAUGGUUUGGCUAACAAAAUAGUGGAUGAAUUAAGAUUAAAUUUUUUUUCCCCAAACAUUAUUACUAAAGAAAAUAUCGGAAUUUCCAUGUGGAAGUUAAAUAAAUUGCAUGACAUGGGUAUGCAAUCUGUGGGUGACAAGGAAAAUGAAAAAGUGAUUCAAAAUUGAUUAAAAUCUUUCAUAGAUGGUAGCCUUGUACACUCUUGUACACUUAGUACAUUUUCCUUGUACAAUUAGUGUAAUACCAUUGUACAAUGGUGCAAUAUAUCUCUCCUAAGUAAUGUGUCCACGUAGGUGUGUUAACCAUAUUUCUAAUGGUUUAACUGAGAAAAGGGUGGAUGAAUUAGGGUUAAUUUUUUUUCCCCAAACAUUAUUACUGGGGAAAGUAUCAGAAUUUCUAUGUGGGAGUUAAAUAAAGUGCAUGACAUGAGUAUGCAAUUUGUGGGUGAUAAGAAAAAUAAAGGAGUGGUUCAAAAUAGAUUGAAAUCUUUUAUAAAUGAUAAUCUUAUAUACUGUUUGUACACUUAAUACAUUUUUCUGGUAUAGUUAGUAAAUACCCUUGUAUAGUGACACAAAUUUCAUAUCCCCGUAGUGCAUGUAUGCCUAUAUGUGUAUUAAACAUGAUUCUAGUAGUUUGAUUAAAAAAAUGACGAAAAACUUAAAUCCAAUUUUUUUAUGAACAUAUUACAUUUUUGUGAAAAAAAUAUACAAUUGACCAAUUCCUUUAUUUAAUUGUAAACAUAUUAUAUUUUAAAAAUAAAAAAUAAUAAUCAAUAAAUGAAAUUUAAUUCUUUUUAUUAUCUUCAUAUAAAAAUAAAUAGUAUUAAACAAGGUUUUCAAUUUUCAUUUUUAAAAAUAGUUUUCAUAUUUUUUAAUUAAAUGUAUUUUCAAAAAGAGACAAUAUAGAAAAUAAAAUAUUUUUAAAAAUAAAAAAAUAAAAACUAUAAAAAAUAUUUUAAAACCAAACUCAAACAUAAUCUAUAUAAUUUUUAACUACUUGUUUUCAUUUAAAAUGAGAACAUAUAUCAUUUAACCCUUUUAUAUGAGAAAAAUUCAAUCUCUAUUGUACUAUGUAUUGAUAUAAUCUAUUUCUAAAUGCAAAAACAUUUUAGUUGGAUAUUUAAAAUAAAAACUCUUCAUCUAUCAUCUUUCUCUCUUUUUCUUUGUUCUUAUUUCAAUAAAUUUUCAAUUAAUUCAAAUCAUUAAAAAAAAUUCCCUAAUAAACAAAUUUGGAACAUUCAUAUAACUUAUUACCAAAAGUCCAUGUUUAAAACAUUAUUAAACUAUGGAAGGAAAAAAAUUAAAAAAAAAACUUUAAAAUACUUUUUAGUAUAAAAGAAAAAAAAAUAGUAAAUACAUUUACUUCUAAAAUGUAAAAAAUAAUUUUUAUUCAUUUAAAUUAAUAAUUUUUUCUAAAGUAUUUUCCAAAAUAAUUUUUGAAUCAUUAAUAUAAUUUUUAUUUAUUUAUACUUUAAAAAUAGAAAAUAAUGUUGAUUUUUCAAUUAUUUUUAAAAGAGUUUAAAAAAUAAUGAAAAAUAAUUAUAUAAAGGAGAAUUUUAUGGAUGGGGCAUAUAAAGAGUGGUGGUAUAAAGACAAAAAUGAUGGGUAUAAGUCAAAGGGGUAUUUUUGUCUAUUUUAACCUUAUAUCCUUGUAAUCAAUUAUGGGUAUUUGGAGGACCUUUUAUUAAUUAUCAAGCUCAAGUAGGUGUAAAAUACAAUUCUCACUUUCAUAACGGUUAUAUUGGAUAUGAUUAAUGUUACCCAUGAAAUAGUCUUCUCUUAAUUUCUAUACAACAUGACAAGUGUAUAGCAAGUUUAAUAUUCUAUUAAAAAAUUUAUUCAAGUACUCAUCUUUAGGUUUUAGUAAGUUUGCCAUUUUUGAUCAUUUGAUUAACCAUGACAUUAGUCACUUAUAUUUUAUAAUGCUUAUAUGAAUCUCUUCUUUGAUGGCAUUUACUUAUGUCACAUAAGAAUUGUUAUUUUUUUUUUAUCUUAUUUAAUUUUAUUUUUUAAAAUCUAUUGUAAAGAAUUUUAGUGAUAAAAAUGGCUAAUCGCAUAUCGGUUUCACAUUAAUUAGUAAUUAGUAGAUUGUUUGAGCCUAUAUGUGAGUUCUUAAGUAGUUUGUUUAUAUUAUAUCAAUGAUAAAAGAAUGACCAUAAAUAAUUAAAAUUUGUUGGUGGUGUUAGGCAUGCAAUAUUGCUUUGUUUUGAUGGUAUGGGAUGUAGAAUGGUUUCUAAUCCAAUGACUGAAUAAGCAACACAUACUUAAAUGUAAGAAAGGAAGGGGUCAUUAAGAGAUUGCAUACUUGGAAACCAAGCUAAAUGUGUCAUGCCCCAAAACCCACUCCAAAGGGCAUGACAAUCAUUUCAUACUUUAAGCCCAAGGCUCAAAGUGAAAACGACACAAACAUUCAUCUUAUAACUGGAAAAUACCAAUUACCAAAUUCCUGUUCAAAAUAGUAAAACAAAAAUUCUAAAAUCUUCAAAUCUCAACUUUUAAACCAACAUAUCAACCAUAGUAUUUUUUGUCCAACCAAUUUCAAACUUAAACAGUAGCUAACAAUAAUCAAAUUCUAACAUUUAAUAAAGUCCCAAAAAGAGAAUUUAAAUAAAUGUCUUAAUAAAGCCAAAUUUUUCAUCCUAACCAUCACUCCUCACUCGAACUGAGGGUACUUGAAUAUUAUUAACAAAGGGCGAUGAGCUAAAAACUCAAUAAGGAACAUUAAUAUAGUUUUAUGGAUCAAAUAGUUUCAAUCAUGUUUGCAAAUAUGAGAUAUAUAGUACAAUCAUUUUUAUAAAAACAUUGAAUUCAAAUAUAUUAAUAUAUUUUAAACUGUUCAACCAAACAUUUUCAUAUAUAUCAAAACCAUUUCAUAUCAAAUCCAAAUCAAACAUAUUUCAAAUAUUUUUACUCUGGUUAUCAUAAAACAAAUAGUAUUAAGUUAAAUAGGACUUUACAAAUGAGCGACUAGUUUCAAAUUUGUUUCAUUUAAAGUUAACAAACCAAAGGUCAACAAUUAUAACUCGUUGAUUAGGGUUGGAAAUGUCAACAAUUAUAACAUGUUGACUAGGACUAUAGAAACCAGAGUCAAAACUUUAUUUCAUUAAUUCAAACUUAGAAAACAAAUAUCAUAUCUCCACAAUUUUUAUUUUUCAUAAACAAAGAAAAAUGUUCAAACAUAUUUUUCGUACAAAACAUAUAUUUGAUCCAUGCAUAUAUAUAUAUACAAUAUAAAAAGAAAAUUAUUUCUUUUUAUAAAAUCUGCUUUAAUUUCCCUUACCUUGAAGAAACAUCCAAAAUCUUGAAGAAUUUAGUUUGAAGAAAUUACUCAUCACCUAACAUAAUAUCAUACACACAUUUAAUUUUUUAUUAUUUAUCCAAAGGUUAUAAAUUUGACAAUACUAAAAAUAUUUUAUUUAGUAUUAGGGAUCCUAAUUAUUUUCUCAUGUUGAUGAUAUUACCACCUGAUAUUAUUUUCAACUUCCAAAACAAUAAUAAUAUAAAUUAAUGAAUUUCCAAAUUUUCAUAAACUCAUUUGCCUUCCAAAUCUUAUUAUAACCAUUUAUUUCUUUUAUAUACUUAAAUUAUAUUAAAAAAUUUUCUAAUUAUUAUUAUUAUUAUCAUUAUUAUUAUUAAUUCCAAUGCCCCACCUUACUUAACAAAAAACCCAUGUACUUUAAAACAUUCCAACAACUCCACUAAUCCACUCAUUAUUUUUAUUAUUAAUAUUAUUUAAUUUAUUUCACUCUCUACUUUACAAACUACAACUCUCCUCCUUCUCACGGUAACCUAAUUGAUUUGUUUUUUCUUCACUCAACAAUCUCACAAUCCCACAUCUUCAUUUUUUUUUUUUUCCAAAUUAUUGCCCCAACACAAUGCCUCAAAAUCCAAAAUCCAAAAUCAUGCAAUUAUUAUUAUUAUUAUUUUCUUUUUCUUUUUCCAAAAUCCAAAAUUUCUUUUCUUCAAUUGAUUUUUCAUCUUAAAUUUAUUUAUUUAUUUUUCUAUUCAAUUGAAAUUUUCAGAAAUUUCUUAUUUUCAUCAAUAAAUCAACAUAUACUCACAAAUUUUCAAACUUUUUGAUCUAAAAGUUAAAUAAAAAAAUCCUAAUUCAGAUUGUGAUUUUUCAAAGAAUAUCUAAUGCAUUCAAAACUAAUUAACGAAUUUAAAAUAUUAAAUUAGGGGUCAGAAUUUUACCUGGAAAACCGAUUUUCAACCCUAAACUUUCAAAUCUUCAGCUUUAUGUUUCCCUAUGCUCUUUGAUUUUUUUGAUCUCCAUGUAAAAGAGUAAAACUGAAAAAAAAAAAAAAAAAAAAAAAAGAUAGAGAAAAACUAAUUUAUACCUAAGGCUUUUAAAAGUGAAAAAACUUUUCUAUCCUUAUUAAAUUAAUUUAAUUAAAUUUUUUAAAUCAUGAUUUUACCUCUAAAUUGGGUUUGAGUUAUUACAAAAUGAUCUUUCAGAGAUAGAUUAUUAAAAACCUUAAAAAACUUCAUGUGAAUGAGGAUAAAUGUUCAAUAUUCAUCAAGUGAUAAGCACUUGAAAUCCAAUAGGAUCUCACAUGACUGUGAUCUUGGCUCAAAUUGUGCUAGAAUGGAGGAAUCAAAGUAACCAUGUGAAUAUGAAGCCACGUACAAAAAUUUCUAAGGGAUGUAUGUAGUUUGCACAUAGUUUAUUACCAAAUAUAAGUUGCUACUUAGAUAAAAUGGGGGAAAUUAUACAACUUUUUACAUUUUGCUUAUUUGUUUAUUGCUUGUAUAGUUAAUGGAAAAUGUAGGAUAUGGAAUCAAGGUUGACUAACACAAUUCCUUGGAUCUAUUGGUUAUAAUGUAGUUAUGUUGCAUAGUUUUUCUCUUUGGUGCGGUUGGGGAAGUUUUGGUCUAACACGAUGUAGGGUAUGCAACAAAUUGCCUUGUAUUUGUAAGUUUGUAACAAUGGCAUAGGGUCAUCUUAAGUGUAUUUGCAAGUGUACUAACAUUCACUUAACUUCUUCAAUUUCAUGAUCCAUGGUUGUUAAGUUUGAUAUUUUGAAAUGAGGGUUAGUGCCUCAACAUAAUCAAAUUUUUUUUACAUAUGUAUUAAGUUUAAAAACUUUGAAUUUCCCUAGUUUAGUGAUAUAAUCAUUUUGAUGUAUUAGGUUGUUUGGUUUUGAGAAACAAAUAUUAGAGGAGCCACAUGUUAUUUCUAGAUAUGUAAAAAUUAGUUUCUCAUAUAGAGUAGGGACAUUAGAUUGUAUUGGUAGUUGUGCCUUCUAUUUGAGUUCUAAUUUGAUAGUUCACAUGCGCACAAACACACACACACACACUUUGAAAUGCAAUUGUAGUAAAGCUAGAGGUUUAAAUAAGUGUAUAGUAACCCUCUUUAAUUAAUUUGGUCAAUUAUCUAUUGAGAGGAUUUUGUUUAUAAAAAAUAAAAAAUAAAAAUGAAAAAUCAAUAGAGAUGAUUCUAAUAAGAAAAUAAAAUUAUCUAUAAAGAGCAAUAGUUUGAGGAUAUUUCUUACCCAAUUGGAGCAGGAUUGAUAAAGUCGAGGAAUGCUAGUAGAUUGCUUGUGGAGUGUUGUAUGAUUGUAAAAUGUCUAUAGAGUGAUAAUUCCAAUUCCUAAGUUAUGUAUCAAGUAAUAAUUCUUAUUAUCUUAGACAUGUUGAGUGAACACUUAAAGGUAAGGAGUAUUGAGAGUAACCUUACAAUAUUUGAAACCCCUCUUGGUAAUUAAGAGAGAUCUUUGAAGUUCUUCCAAGGUUUCCCAUUGUCAUUAGUUGUUUUCAAUUUUUUUUAUAUGAUAAUUUCCUACAUAACAUUUGAUUUUUGAAUCAUUCCUUUCCAAAACCUUGAUUUAUUCACUUUGCUAAGAUUGAUACCAAAAUUUGGUGUCUAGGUCCAUUGGAUGUUAUUAUGCAUUCACUAGAAGGUUAAGAUUCUCCAAUAAAAUGUGUUUGUAUUUCCCGAAUAGGAUUUAUAGGUGCCAAGGUAGUAGGAAAUCUCUCUAAAUUCCUCACUCUUCAAAUUACCUAACAAAAAGCAAAAAGUUUUCAGUGUCUCAAAAUCCAUGAUCAGGCUAAUAGGGAUAUUCCUGGUUAUGAAAAGUCUCUUCAACAAAAAGUAAACAAGAAAUAAUUGAAUCUUUGAAUAAACUAACCACCUUACUAUUAACAAAAUCCCAACAAUUCUACUAAAAAGUCAAAGCAAGACUUUGGCAGUUGAUAAAUUUAGGGGAUAGAGGACUUUAGUGUUACAUUAUGCUUUUGAAUAAUUGGAUCUUGAAAAUUUUCUUUUGUGGCAAUAGUUGAUCAUAAGACUUUGGAUAAAUUUAGGGGAUAUAAGUCAAACUUUUUGAAUUAAGUCACAAAUUUGCUUUUAUGGCAAUGAUUGACAAUAAAGGAACAAUAAGAUCUUGGAACAAUAGAAUCUUUUGAAACUCAUUCCUCCCAUUGGAAACAAUAAAGAAUAAAUUUAAGGAUAGAAGAAAUUGGUGUUACAUUACACUUCCAAAUAAUUGAAUCUUGGAAGUUGAAACAAAACAAGGAAAAUAGAAGCCAACCUAGGGAAGCCAACUUCAACAUUAAGCUGAUGAGGAACAAAAGUCAGAGAAUUCAUGACAAUACUUUUAUUUAGAGUAGAGGCUGCUAGACUGGUGUGUGUAGUGGCAUUUUUUUUACUUUUUGACUUGUAGAUUGACAUAAAUUAUGAGGUGUUGCUAAAAAACAGUUACUCACCUCUUUAAUUAAUUACUUAGAGCUUGUUUGGUCCUAAGUAUAAGAAGCCCUUUUAAUAUUUUUAGUACUUGAAAAUUUUUAUCAUUCAAGUGUUAGAAAUGUUAGAAACGCUUUUAAGAAUCACUCCCAAAUGUACUCUUACAUUGAUAAGAUGAUGAUCAUACCUCAUUGUACUUAGAUAAGUUGAUGACAAUGUAUAUCAAGCUAGUUAAUUAACACUUAGGCUAAACCUUAAACACCUUAUCAGGAGACUUAAACGUCACAUACAACAUUUAUAUUGAGUCCUUGAUACUUUAAGAAACAACAUAAUUUAAAUGACAAAUGUAAUACUUUUAUUGACCGCAUAGUUUUAGUUGUAGACAUUCAAACGGAAGAUGUCUAAGUUAACCUAUCCUUCACUAGCACACACCACAAGGUUCAUUAAGUAUGAAGCUUUCAUGGGAUAGCUUCAUAAGAAAUCUUACUUCAUAAUUACACCUUUAUCAGCCAUACAUGUCUUGAUUCAAAGGGUGAAUCAUUGUUAUACUUUUUUGGUUUGGAAGUAGGAUUUCGGGACAAUCUUGAAAGCCUAUAAUGCUCCCAUCAAGCAAAUUUUCUAUGUUCGUUUUAUUUAAUAUGAUUUGUAUUUAUUCAUAAUAAUACUCAACUCAAUGUUUUUUUAUUUUUUAUUUUGGAAAAAUAAUAUUUAGUAGGCGUAAGAUACACACACUCGGGGUUUUAUGACACUAUAUUAUAAUUACGUUAUUGGUUAAGUGAUUUUCAUCGUGGUGGUAGAAUUGUAGGAAAAUAUGACACAUUUAACCAAUGUCAUGUAAGAUUAAAAAAUGUUGUUGAACGUGCUUUUGAUGUUGUCAAGCCACAUUUCCUAAUAUUUAAGAGAAUGAUAUGUUAUUCGUUUACUACUAAAACAAAAGUUGUCGUGACAUGCUUUGCUAUUCACAAUUUUCCUCAACAAGUCUUAGCUAUUAAUAGAUUAUUUUUUCAAUAUGAAAAAGAAAUGGAAUUGGGAAGUGAUAAUACAAAUUAAAAUCAAUCCUCAACUAUAGACUUUUUUUUUCUUUUUUUUUGGCGAUAUCUGAUCAAGUAUUCAAGCAAUAGUUUUGAAAACCAAAUCUCAAAUGAAUUCUUUCAAGUAUUUAGCUAAUUUGUCAUUUUUAGCUUUUUCCAUUGUAAGAAAUGUGAUGUUUAGAUAUUAACAUAAAAUGAGAUGUUAUGGAUAUUUGAAAUAUGUAAUUGAAUUAUUCUAUUUUUUCUUUGAUUUGAUUUACGUUUUAUCAAUAGAUUACUUUUCAAAUUAUUAAUUUAAAAAAUUUUAAUUAUAUAAUAUAAAAAUAAAUAUAAUAAAUAUUUUUUUUUGCAAGGAUGAUAAUGAUAAAUAUUUAUUAUAAUAAUUUUUAUUAUUUUAAUUUUUUUAGAAAUAUGUUAAUUUAUUUUAAAGUCAAAUAAGAAUUAAUAUAAAAAUUAUUUUUCUUAAUACGUUAAAUAUAUUAAUUUUUAACAUAUAAAAAACAAAUAAUUUAACACUUACUAGAAAAAAAAUAUUUUUUUUAUAAAAAAACUUAAUACUUAAUAAUUGGCUUAAUUCAACGAUCCGCUAUUUGAGUAGACGCGUGGAGUAGCGAUUGGGAUAAAAAGCGGAGAUCGCCAAGCACGUGACAAUUCUAGUGGGGCCCACGUAGUUUGGAUGACAAGCACGUGACUUUAAACACUCUCCGGAUAAGUUAUUGAACUGAAAAGGAAAGUUCUACCCAACCAAUCAGAUGACGCCACCUCACGAUGACAUGAAAUAACGCGUAUUGGGAUAAUCAUUUUAUAAUAUAAUGGAAUAUCCACUAUUUUCUUUUCUUUUCUUUUCUUUUAAAUGGUGGUAUGUUCGAUUCAAUUCUCCGAUUAAGUUUUUUGACUUAAGACUGUUCAUGGGUUUUCAUCUUCCAACUCUUUUUUUUUUUUUGUGUCAUUUAAAAAUAUAUUUCUUAAAAGAUAUAAUAUUUUAUUAUAGGAAAAUCUGAAAAAAGGGAAUUAGAAAAAAAAAAUAUGAAAAAAAAUUGGUUAAUAAAUUUUUUAUAAUUUAUUAUCCAUUAAAAAAGUGAGAGAAAUAAUAUUAAAUAAUUAACAAAUACAUUUUCUCAAACUUUUUUUUGUUUCUUUUUGAAAAAAAAAACAUUAAAGUAAAUAUUUUAAAAAUUUUCAUCCAAAUUUCCUUUUUUUUUAAUCUUAUUUUCCAAAUUAUCCAAAUAGUUAUCAAAUUUUGGUAAAAAGAAUUUUUUUUUUUUUAAUAUUUUUAAAUAUAAAAUAGUUAGAAAAUAAUAGUCUAUAUUUUUAUAGAAUAUAAAACCAAAACAUCAUCAAAUUAGCCACCCUAAUUAGAAUAAGUAGUGAAUUCAUUAGGAUAUUUACUUGUUUGAUCUUCCAUGAACAUAUGAAGUAAUAAAAAAUAACAACAGAAAAACACUAAAUAUUAACAAUAUAUCAAAUUAUUUACAUCAUCAUCAUUAUGUGCCCUCACAACUUUAAACCAAGCCAAACCAAGCAUACAGCCGUAAACCAAUAAGAUAUUUGGCCUACACCAAUGCAAAAGAAAGGAGAAAAAGGAGCAUAUUUUCCCUUUGGUAAAGAUAUUACAAUUUUGCUAUAACCACCAUUUAUUUUUUUAUUUUUUCCUUUUUUUUUUAAUAAAAUAAAUUUUUGUCUCCACUGUGACUUGUACCUGGAACCUCCCACAAGCCUCACUUUGCUAUAACCACCAUUCUAAUGGUGGUCCACCUACAUUUCACAGCUUACAAUUCCAUUGACAUCAGAAGCCUUUGGUCUUUUGAUAGAGGAGAUGAAGAAGCUUCUACAAUCUGCAGAGAGCAAAAGAAGAAGCCAUGAGGAAAAGCAACAGUGCCACAAAUAAACAUGUUGAUUGCAGCAGAGAAAAAUUCAUGGUAGCCUAAGAACUAAAUUUCCUCCUGGUGAAGGACAAUAUGGAUGAAGAACCAUGGAGAAGUUAAGCAAAUUGUAAAGCUAAGGUAUAGGUAACCUUUCAAGACCUAUCCAUUGGGGGUCCUACUUUUGAACCCCAUGGGAAUCAAAAUAACCUAGAUAUACCCUAUAGGCAUGGCUUUCAGGCAAUAUUGUGUUUCUGGGGUUUACCCUAAGUCCUUGUUCCCAAGGAGAGAUUGUGGAAUGGGGUUUCCUUCAUUGACCAAAAACCGCAAUGAAAAGAAUUCACUGAACAUGCUCAAAAGGACCUGCAAUACAUUCUAUAAGAUGAUGAUAUAAUUUUAACAAGAAUGGGCCAAGUCAAUAUGUAUGACAUGGUAAUUUUAGUAAACCGAGAAGGAGAAAUGUGGAAGCUGAUGAAAGAUUGAUAAUCAACAUAUAACAACAAAGAGCAAUUGUUAUCUGGGUUGGGGAUCUCUACCUAGAGAGCAUGAUGCUAGAUGAUAAUGACAGCAUUGAGAAAAGCAUGCAAUUCAUAAGAAGGUAGUAGAAACACAAACUGGUGGCAGUAUGACAGAAACUCAGCUUUGAUGGUGUAGCCAUGCAACUAUGAAAACCAUUGACUAAGAGAGAUGUUCUCAUUAAAGGAGAUGUGUGUGCAGGGGAACCAAGGAUAUGAAUGGGAACAAUGAAAGAAAUGAAGCCUUGUGGUUAAGGGAAAUUAUGGUCGCAACAGAGCAAAAAGUAAAAAAUUAGAAGCAAGAAGUAGCAAGCAUGAAGGCAGUGGACCUUAGCUGGUGAUACAAAGCACUGCAUCUAAAGCCAUUUCCCCCAUUACAGUUAUGCCUUUUCUUAGAACCUUCACCCACAUUCAUUUUUGUCUUCCUCUUGACCUUUUGCCCCUUCAACUCAAAUUAUACCACUCAUUUGCACCAGUGCAAUUAUAGGUCUUCAUUACAUGUGGACAAACUCUUUUCAACAUCUUUCCCUCAUCUCAUGAUCAAUUGGUGGUGCCUUUACCCCCUUACAAAUGUAUUUUCAACUAAAAUUAAAGCACUUGUCUAUACUGGCACAUCCAUAGGUCUUCACAAGUUUGACCAUCAUAAAGAACCUUUCCCUGAUCUCAUUACCCAAUUGGUACCUCUCUACAUUCUUAUCAAUACAUUUCUUAUUCUGUCUUUCCUCGUUUUGCAUGUUGCCCAUCUUAACAUGGUUGAUUCCAAUAUGUUCAAUUUGCAUUAUUUCUAAUUGCAUAACAUUUUAUAUGAAACAACAUAGCUGGUCUUAUAGUUGUCUUAUAACAGUUUCCUUCCAACUUAAUAGGUGUUCCACAAUCACCAAAUACUGUCUGUGCUUAUCUGUUUCAUACAGUCUGCUCUUAAUUCUAUAGACAACAUCCUUGAUCUCCCUUGGGACUAAUAUAAUCCAAGAUAAAGAUAUCAUUUGCUCUUAGAUGUCUCUUAGCCAUCCAUUUCAUUAUACUACUUUUUAUAAUAAAAUAACGUUGCAAGUAUUCCAUCUUAGUUGUGCUUACCCCCAAACCUCCAUACUUUAUAUCUUUUGAUAUUUUUAACUUGGAGUCAAGACCAACAUUGUUUUCACCAACUAAAAUCGAUAUAGUUGUUAAACAAAAGGAAUCGUGACAUUUUCCGGAAGAUUCCUUGUUAGUUCCUUCAUAGUAAUUACAAAUACUGGGCUCAAUGACAACCCUUGUUGUAACCUUGUGAUUCAUAAUACAAAUUUUAUUUUAUUUUAUUUCAUUUAUUUUUAAUUCAUUGGCAACCUCAUGUUAUGGGCUAGGAUGCAUCUAGACGGGGAUCCCCUAACCAUUAUAGAUAAUAUUGAUUGGUUGGGGUCUUUGUGAGGUUGUUGUGUUUUUUGGAGUCCCUCAUGUUUUUUUGCUUUGCCUCUUGGUGCAUUUUAUUUACUACCUAUGUACUUGGUUGCACAUUUUGUUUGACACUUUUAAUAUAUUAUUAUUUCCUUCAGAAAAAAAAAAAUAUUGAUUUAAUUUUUUGGAUAAGAAAUCAUACUUAUAUUUUAUCAGAUAAAGAUGACAAUUUAUACAAAAGGAAGAAAGAUGAGAAAUCCUUAAAAUGAAAAAGAAAAUGCACAGGGUAUAAAAGUGUUAAAAGAAACCUGUUCAGAGAAAGCCAAAGGCUCUCUAUCCCUAAGAGUACUAAAACUCAAGGAACUUGAGAUUGAAAACAAAUCAACUAGGGAAGCCAAACUAUUAGCUUCCUGCUUGACCAAUCUUAGCUUCCACAAUAAGAAGCAAUCCCAAAACAAAAUCAACUAGGGAGGCCAGCCUAUUGGCUUCCUGAUUGGCCAAUAUUGGUUUUUGCAAGAAGAAGCAAUUUAAAGCACUACAAGUCCACAAUCCUUGGAAUCCAAUAGUCAUAUUUCCUGGACCCUCCAUGACUGUUAGUCCAAGACAAAACUGUAGCUCAGCCCCUAUACACUAGUAAAUUGGUUAUGCCCAAUUCCUCUUAUAGCACUUAUGACACCAUCAGCAAAGUUCUUGAUUAAAUCAAUAUAUUUGAUUAAUACUCCCUUCUAUUUACAAUGACAAAGUCCAUCAGAUUAUAUUCCUUGGAACCCUUAUGCUUUUCAAAAUUGAUAAAUGUCAUAUAAGAUCUUCCUUUCUUUGAACUUCCACUACAAUCACUUAAAAAUAUACAUCUCCUAUGGUUGAUCUUCCAGCAAUAAAACCAAAGUCUUUCAUUUAUGUCCUUUCCUUUCACAAUCACUCUCUUUUAAAAUUCAGAGUAUGGCUCAUAAGCUUACUAUAAUGGUAGUUGAUGCAGCUUCAAAAAUCAACUUUGUUCUUGUUCACUCGUUCCAAAGUGCUUUUACUCCUUGCACUGGGUAUUUUAGUCCCUAAGAUCUUUAAAUAGAACUAGUCAUAAAUUACACCUCAUCAUUUAUACACUUCCAAGCCUCAACAGUAAUUCAGUCAGGUUCCACAGUUUUUCCUAUUUAAAAUCAUAUAAGAUGAACUGUACAUGCAUAGGCCAGAAUGAAAAAUAAAAUAACACAAAACAGUGUGGACAAAUCUAAGUAACACUUAAAAGUCUUAUUAUGAGUACAGUCAAUCACAAUGACUAUAUGAAUACUUCUUUCUGAUAGGCCACUAAGUCAAUAUUCUUAUAUUUACAAACGAUAAAAGAAUCUUUCUAAACCUAAAAGAUUUCAUUGAAAAUUCCUUCUUACAUUGCUUUCCUUCAGGCUUCCUCUAACUUUAGGUAUAAACUGAUUUUGUAACCCUCAGGAACCAAUAAACAACAACAGCAUAGGAGGGAUGAAGAGGAAGGGAGGAAGGGAGAGAGAAAGGAAAGAAAGAAAAUGGGCUUAGGAUUACUAUGAAAUCCUCUAUACAAUGUUGGUUUAUACAAAAGCAGUAUCAGACACAGACAAAUAUGCUCUAGCAUUUGUCCAGUGAGCAACUAAGAUUUUGGACCAAUAUCAGCUAGUAUCUGUAACAAAGACCAUGAUUAUAGAUAUUAACAGUAUCAGUCAAAUAUGACUUGGAUGCCUUUCCAUUCAUUUACAACUUAACAGUGUUGCUAGGCAGAAAGUACACCUCUUGCCUAAAAUGUAUGCACAUGUUGUUUCGGAGAAUACACAGUUUAAACCGAAAUUAGUCCUAUUUCCAAUUGUCUAAUUUAUUUGAAGGGACAAUUCAAUUUAACAACAUCAAACAAACUUAUAGGAAAACCUACUAAAGAACUGUUUAGGAGAGCUUCAACAAUUAAAACAGUGUUUGAUGAUCAACCCCAACUUUCAAGGAUGUUUGUCUAGAAAUUUCAAACAUGGACCCCAUACUUCCCAACAUGAUUUCUCAGCGUUUUGGAAAAGCAAGGUCAAUUUGAUUUUUUUUAAAUAUAAAAAUAUCCUCAUUUUUUAACAAUUUUAAACUAUGCUUCUUGAACAUAAACUCAAUUACAUAGAAAAAUUAGUUUUAAGAAAGGCAAAAAAUGGAUGGUGUAGGAUUCAGGCAUUUGUGACCACAAAUUUCAUGAUAAAUGCAAUUUACUCAAUACGAUCAUAAAUAGUGGCUACUUAAGAGGCCUAAUCAAUGUAAAAUACUCCAAAUACAAAGCCAGGUGUAUUUGUCUAAGUUAUGUUAAAAAGGCAAGUAAAGAGUCAAGUGCAUGAUGAUUAUUACUAGAUUGUAGCAAAUCGGUUACCUCUUCAUUCACUGCUUGGUUGCCUUAGACUUUGGCACAGAUUAUUUAGUCUAGUAAAGAUGGUUUGGACCCCUCCCACAAGUGUGAGACAUGAUGAUUAUUGCUUACUAGGGUUUUGGUCAUCUUAUGAAAAACAUAGUUUCGUCGCAAGUGGUUUGUGUCGCUUUGCUUUGGAUGAUCUAGCUCAAGAAAAAUGCCAAAAUUUUUUAUGAUAGAUGGAGGCUUUAUGGAAGGCUAUACAUUCUCAUCACCCUUUUGGGCUUUGGCCUCAGAUGUUUUUUUGUGAGAUCCCCCUUGAGCUUUUGAGCUUCAGAUUGUGAGAUUUGAGUCUUACAAGGGCAACUAGGAAGGUUGCGUCUAAGGUGCAAGCUGAAUGGAGCUCUCUUAGCAGGUACUCUCAAACUCAACUUUGAAAGUUGUUCUUUGGCUAAUCUGGAUUAAUUUGGGAUAAGUGGUUUUGUAAGAAGCAUGAUAGUAGAGUGCUGAGAGCCUUCUCUAAGCUUCUUGGGUUGAGAUUAGCUAUUGAGUUGGAGAUUCAAACCCUUUUGGAGGGAUUGUACCAUGCUAGUCUAUGGUGUUGCCCAAUCUCAUAGUUGAGGGGGAUUUCUGGUAUUGCCAUCACUUGGGCAUCAAAUGCUAGCCAUGGAAGUAUAACAGCAGGCUAGUCAUGUUCUUUCACUUGGAUUCCUCACAGUGAAUCUUCUAGCCAUGCAUGAGGCCUCUUAAUUAGUCUCUUGAAGGGGAUCUUUGACCUCCAUGAGCUCUUCUCUUCAUGUUGGCUAUGGAGUUGCUUUGAAUUGGAAGGUCUUUUAUAAUAUUUUGCUUUUAGCCUUCCAUGUUUGCUUUCUUUUCUAUACUUUUUUCUUCUUUCUGGUCAGUUUUUGUUUUUGUUUUUGCAAAGGAUAACUCAUCAUUCUUUGUAUGUUAUUGUGCAUUUGAAUUAAACACUUUUUUUUUUUUUUGUGAAUUAAAGAAAAAGGAAAAAUGAAUAGUGAAGUAAAAGCGCAAGACCUAAACUGAUUAGUGCACUCUAAAUGCCAAAAGGCCAAGUGUUGCAUCUCAAUCACAUUUAAGAUAUAAAAGCAUAUGAAUAGGCAUACAUGAAAAGUUUAACAAAUUUAAAAUAAGAUGCCUCAACAUACUAAAGAUUUGGGUGGCCAACCUUAAAGCCAGUUCUUUUGUACAGUUCUUGAGCAGGUUUGUUGUCUGCAUUUACAUGAACAAAUAGUUGCUUCAUACCUACAAGCAAUCCAAUGAAGAGGGAAAAAGGACUAUCACUAUAAUAUCAACAUAAUAGAUUGGAAUAUGAAGGUAAAACAUAUAUAUAUUCAUAUAUAACCACUCUUAGGAGUUGAAACAUGAUACCGGCUGAGGAGGCAACAUCAUUGGCCAAAGAAAGCAUGUUUAGUGCAAUUCCCUGGCGUCGGGCAAAUUUUGAAACACAAACAUUGGCAAUGUAAGCAUAUUUAUGCGCAUCAAAGGGCUCUGGACUUGCCAAGACAGAAGACAAUCUUUUAAUCUCCUGAAGAUAUUAUAGAAUGAGUUGAAGGUUGAUUCAUUGAAAAAGAUUUAACAACAUCUAGGGAAGAAAAUAAUUCCCAAAUGUUUAUAGUCUAACCAGACAACUAUGUCAGUAUAAACUUGGAAGCACAUGCAUCAAAAUAAAAUCCAAUGUGUACCCCGGGGUAUGUUUCCCCUCGUAUAUAUUGUCGAAUGCUUAGGUCCAGAGUUCCCACAACACUGUUUAAGACGGUUCUUCGUAUAUUUUUCUCCUCCUUAACCUGGAAUGGAGAAAAAAGAGUACCACCAAAUACAUUAACCCAGCAAGAGCACUGCAACAAUAUGUAGAAAAUUGCAUAAUAUUCAUCAAAGGUUUAUUUGAUAUGUAUCAGAAAACGGAAUACAUACAUUUUAAUGUUGAUGUCUGCUGUUAAUAUCUGUUCUAUUUAACCAGAAAAUCUAGGUAAUCCAUAAUAUUUUCUGCAGCACCCUCAUUUUGCACAUUUUUUUAUAUUGGCAAAACAAAUGAGCAACAUAUGUCAAAUACGAAGGCAUGGUCUCAUACCAAGUGGAAGUGAAGGGCCAUGGAGAACAUGUGCUUCCUUCCUCUAUGAUACAUAUAUGCAUAAUUUGGCCAUUUAUUUAGUUGAAGAAAGGAUGCGAGGACCGUAGAGGAAAAAAAUGAGAUUAUUAUGUUAUCUUCAACAUCAGUGAAAGAUGUCAUUGAAAGACUGGAUUCAAACAUAAACAAAACAAUACCUCAGAGUUCCCCCCUUCAAAAAAAUUGCAACAUACAGAACUAUAUAAAUCUUACUACAGAAUGUGUGGUUUAAUAGACAAUAAGCAGAAUUGGACCAAUUAGGACAUGAAACUGAAGUAGAAUAAUAAGGUUGGAAAUUAAGAUCUACAUUGCACCUUCAAUUUGCCUUAUAUUCAUAUUCAAUAAAUAGUUACCUCCAAUAUCAACAUCAAUUUCAAAACACAGGUAGAAACAAACAAUUAAUUUAUCUAGGAGAUUAUGACAUACUGCAACAAAACAGAAGCACUUCAAUAAAUUUCCAUCUUGCCCAGCACAUCGUCGUUUCAAAGCAUAGAACUCCUGAAACAUGCAAAAAUAUAUUUAAAAAAAACACCAAACACUGAUAUAAUUAGGUUAUGUGAAAGAAAACAUUCAGGUGCAAUAGUGAUGCAGGACAUCACUAGAACACUCUAGAUAUUACUAACUAUGAAGUGGACGUCCUAGGAUCAUAUUGGCUAGCUUUCCAGGAUCAUACCUUAAAUGGGAAAGACUUUAGAUUGAGGUGAUAUAAAUGGAUUGGAUGGUGGCUUUCCUUCAUGUGUUAUGCAAAGUUGAUCAGUAAGGAGACUAACUUUGGAACAGAGCUCUAGUAGCCACAAUAGCAAAUUUCAAAAUAGCAAAAUUGUUUUGGUACACUCUGUCAUCAAAAGCAAAUAUGGGUUGCAAAAUUUGAUGAUUGUGCUCAAGGAAGCUCAAGUCAAUUCGCAUUGAAAGGUCAUUAGAAAUCAUAUGGGAUUUUUAUUUUUUUAAUUUAUUAUUAUUAUUAUUAUUAUUAUUAUUAUUAUUAUUAUUUUGAUAGGUAAAAGAAGGAGUAUAUAUAAAAAGGAAAAGCCAAAACAGCAUCCCAAAGCAUACAAGAAGUAUACAUUAGCCGCCAAAAGGCUCAACCGAGCAGGGGAGGGAGAGAACAAAAAGCAUCACCUGCCCUCACUUAGAACCUGCCCAAUCGAUAAAGUUUGAAAGAGACAUAGGCCCACAUCUACAUACAUGAUACAACCUAGACCAAGACCACAAAUUACAAACAAAAGGGUUUUUCAUCCUUUGGACCAAAAACUCCACAUUAUCAAAAGCUAGCAUGUUCUUUUCCUUCCAAACAGUCCAAAAGAUACAUAAUGGGGCAGCCUUCUAAUACUUUUUGUGAACUUUACCCAAGAAGGACCCAUGCCACUCAAGGAGUGUCUCUUUAACCAAAGAGGAAAGAACCCAAGAUGCUUCAAAGAGAGUAAAAAACAGCUACCAUAGAAUCCUUGUCUUUGCACAAUGGACAAGAAUGUGAUCAACAAUUUAUUCUUCAGCAUGGCAAAGAGAACAUCUAUUUGCCAAAAAAAACUCCCUCCUCUGGACCUAAUCCAAAGUUAAAGCUUUCUCCCAUGUUACCUCCGAAGCAAAAAAAGCCACCUUAUAUGAUUGAUGUUGCAUGCUUUCUCCAAACCAAUUGGGCAAGGGAUAGUUAUGAGAUCUUAGGACCUAGGAAGAUUAAUCUUGGAAUCUAGUUUGGGCAACAAGAAUGUCCAUGUGGGAAGGAACUGUGUGGUUAUUUAUUGAGUUUAUUCAGGAGGCUCAGGCCCUUGAAGGCUUACUCACCAGUUGAAUAGGCUCUUUCAAGGGUCUUCUUCAUCUUCUAUACUCAAAAACCUAGAUCAUGCGAUGAGGUGGCUGACAAAUUGGCUAAGAAGGGUGCCUAAUCUCUAAGGAUUGUUUUAGGGAAUCCCUAUCCCUUGAUCAUGGAGUUUAAAUACUUGUUUUGGUUUUUUGGUUUUAGUUUUUUUUGUUUUAGUGUGUUGUACUACUCUUUGUUUAUUUUUCUUCUUUUUUAGCUUUUUCAGGACACUUCAUCCUUCUUUGUAUUUCCUAUGAUCUUAAUAAUGAAGACAUUUCACACAGUAAAGAGUUCAAAGUAAAAACCCUUGACAGUUCUUGGGGCCAAGAAUGUUGGUGACUCAGCAAUGCAAGACAAGAUGAAUGGAAAUAAAUUCUAUAUUUCAUGAUUCAGAUCAAUCCAAAGGAUCUGACUACUAUACAGACUGCUCCAACCAUGAAUUUCAUCAUCCUGAUUAAGUAUAUGGUUUGAUUGGAAAAGAUGGGGGACACUUCGUUUAUUUUGGUCCAUUUGGCAAGAAUGGAACUGGAAAUUGAAGAUUUGAGGCAUUCAAAUCAAUCACUAAAGGAGUCUCUUAUAGUUCUCUUUAUCUUUGGCCUGGGAAGCAUUUGGGUGAUGGUUUUGUGUCCUUACUAGAUAUCAUUGAAUGUUUGAGCUCUUUGCAGUAUUUCUUUUCUUGCCCUUUUGGGCAUCUUGUGUACUCUUCAUAUAGUAGGGUUGAAAAUCUCCAAAAGUUUGACAUGUCUCUCUUUAAUCCCUAUAUCUCAAAAGUUUUUGUAAGAGAUAUGGUUUUAAGGUUUUUAAUAGUUGUUCACUCUUUACUAAGAGACAAGUAUUCUAGACAGCCUAGUUUACUUUUCCCUACUUUUAUUUCCCCAUAAAUGGACCUUCCCAUGUAUCAUAAGUUGACAGAGGCAAAUAAUUUCUAUAUAUUGAGCUUUGCCCCUAGAUAUUUCUUUUAAGACCAAGUAAAUGAUUUUGAAAGAUUCAACAUUUUUAGAGUCAUUAAGAUAAGGAUAUUUUUUUCCCUGAAAGAUUUCUAGGUGGAUAUAAAAUCAUUUCCUUAACAAAAUCAAUUAUCUUUCUUCUUAUGUUCAUAAGGAUUUGCAAAGGCAAUUGACAAGUUGAUCUCUUAAGGUACUAAUAAAAUAAAUUUCUUAUCAUGAUAAGAAAAUUAAAGAAACAAUAUAUUGUCAAGAAUUAGGUUUCAAGUGAGUAUUUAAGUUAGGUGCAUCCUUAACAACUAUAUAUUCAAUCUCUCAGUUAAAUAUCAGUUCUCUUUAGAAACUACAUGCUCUAGGUAACAUACAAUUACUUUCAAGUCUUUAACAAAACAAUAUCACUUUCUAUGACCAAUUGGUCCAUGUAAUUUCAACAAAUUGGAGGCUUGAGUUCUUCAAUGAGGCUAUUUUGGAAAAGAGAGGCUGAAUAUAAGCCAAAAUCAAUUGUUAAUUAUUUUAAUAGCCAAAUAACCAAAAUUAGUCUUUCUAAUAAACAAAGGAUGGUAUCCACAUGGUAAUAAAAUUAGGCCAUAGAUCUCCCUAGCCUCAUCUUGUAGCUUACCAAGAUAAGAUUAUAAUCAAUGUGAAAAAUAGAGCACAAUCUAGAGUUCACAAUAACACUUCAUGCAGUCAUUUGAGGUUGUCAAUGCAGGUGUCUUUCCCCCUCUCCCUUAAAUAAUUUGCACUCAUCAGGAAAAGUUAAAAAAGAAUGUAUUCCAUGGCAGCUCACCUCUUCAGCGUACUUCCUUUUAUAAUUAUCAACAUGCCUGGAACAGAGUAAAUCAUCAUAAUUAAUGGUCCAAACUGAAAAAUCCAAUAUUCAUAUGUAUGUAGUAUUUAAGACUUAGUAUAAGAUUUAUUUUUUUCCCUGUUUCAUAAGAGACUUGGCACAAUAUUAUCAGCAAGUUAAACAAACAAAUGAAAAAAGCCUAGUAAAACUAUUAAGACAACAUUACGACAAUACAUAGUUAAGAAUACAAGAAGGGAACGAACCGCAUAUAUGAUAAAGAUUCCCAAUGGGCUUCUGCCCGCAGCCAUGCUGCUGUCUGCCAUGCAAAGAGACAAAAGCAAAGGAAAUAAAUACAUUAAACUACUUUAGACAUACAAUGAAUCAAGAAACAAAUAUCGCUAGAAGGAAGCACACACCAGAAGGUGUGUUGGUCUGAGUGGAGGGAGGGAGGAAGGGAAGGAGGAAGAGAGGGAGAAAGAGAGAGAGAGAGAGAUCAACCCAAUAUUCUUCAUCCAGUACAGCUUCACGUGCAACAAAUCUACCAAAAUUCCGUCUUUGCAAUCCACAAUAUUCCUCGUCGGUAAGUUGUAAACGGUUGAAAGAGAGCUCAGGAAGCCUUGAACUAUCACUCUUAGAAAUAGCUGAGUGCCGAAUACUUUCACUAUUAUUGCAAUGUGCCUCAAGCUUUUUCCAUCUAGAGAAUGAAACAGAAAAAGUCUCUCUACAAGGAAUUGGAGAAACAAAACAAGGGGGUAAUAAGAAUGUACGUGGAGCUGUAUAAAUUACAUAGAUUUUUCUAGAAACUCAGAACUAAGAGAAAAAAAAAAAAGCAAUAAAGAAAGCCUUGAAGAAGUCCCUGCCACUCCCUUGAAGCAACCUCACUGAAAAUAUUACCUUAUUCUUUUGCAUUGUUAUUUUAUUUCUUUAUAUGUUGUUACAAGUAUUUUGUUUCUUUACAUGUGAAUAGUAAUUUAAUAUUGUACCAAUAUGAGGAAAACAUACAAGUAAGCACACCAUAAGUACAAAUAUAAAGAGACAUGUCUCUAUCUGUUAUGCAUGAAUCAGAAACAACAACAAAGAUAUAGAAGAAUGUAAAUUCUGAUAUCACUCUAUGAUGGUCAGGAUGACAGACUUCCAGGUUUCUUGUCAUUUCCUGUUCACAUUAACAGCAUACCUAUAAACUCAAGCGUUGACCAGUGCUGUUCAUCUUGGAUGGCCAUAUUAAAAAAAUCACUUCAUGUUUAAGCACUAAAAAUACAGCCAUCAGAAUACCAUAUAAUAAAAACUCAGAAAUUAAGCUAAAGAAGUUCAAAGAGGGAAAAUUGAAAUCCAACUAUAAGUUUGGAAACUCAAGUCUUUCUUAGAAAGAGAACCAUUUCAACAUUUGCUUACUGAUUGGCUAACAAUCUAGACAAAAAUAAAAAGCAAAUUUGGUAAAAUUUACAAAACUUGAUCCUCAAUAAAAGUCUUUUUGAGCUAUCCAAAGCCUGACAUACAUUCAUCUAUUUGGACAAAACUUAUAUUAAGACUAGGAAUGAUUCACCCCAGUUUGUGAAUCAGCAACCAUGCACAAUGCAGAGACAUUUGGCAACCAUUUUUUUUUUUUUUUGAUAAGCAAGAGAAUGUACUAAAAAGUGCAAAAAGCGCACAAGAGUACACAAGACAUAUACAAAGUACACUUGGCAAAAAAACAGGAAAGAGGGAACACACAAAAAAUAUUCCCUCCCUCAUUCAAGCCCGAACAAAUCUAUGAAGUCAACCAUAUAUGUAUAUACACCCUAACCCACAUAGAGAAAUUGUUAAGAAAAAUAUUUUUUAGCCUUUGGUCAAACAAUUCCUCACAAUCAAAGAAUCUCUUAUUUCUUUCCUUUCAAAUCAUCUAGAAAAUACAAAGAAGAGAAGCUACGAAAGACUUAAUACAUCUUCUAUCUACAAAAGAGUCAUGUCACCCUAGAAGAGUCUCCCCAAUCAUCUCAAAUAAAAUUCACUGAACGCCAAAAAUGGAGAACAUCAGCUGCUAUAAAAUUCUCACCUUAUCACAAUGAAGGAGGAUAUGAUCAAUGGACUCCAACUCCUCUACACAAUGCACACCUAUUAGCCAACUUCCACCCACUUCUUUGAAGUUGAUCCCAUGUCAAAACGUUUCCCUAACAAGCCUCCUAAGUUAAAAAAACUCACCUUUAAAGGAAUCCACGAGUUCCAAAUUAUCUUUAAAGGGAAAGGGGUGGUAUAAUCUGUCUCCAACAAAGAGUAAACCCUUCUUACAAAGAAAAGCCCUUUGCUAUCUUCCUCCCACAGUACUCUAUCCUCCUCCUCCCUCUUCAUUGUCUGUCCUUGGAGCUUAGAAAGAAACCUCUUCAUUAUCUGUCACCAAAACCAUCUAUAUAAUUAAGGAUGAAAAAGGAUGCCAAAGAAACCCCUACUAUCAAAAUCCAUGACUUAUGUGUGAACUAUAUCGGUUCAAGGGUGGAUUGUAGGGGCAAUGUUUCUAAUGUUAGAUGAGGAUAUGCAUUUUAUGUUGGAAUGUAAAAGGGGCUAAUGAUAGAGAUAAAAGGAAGGUUAUCAAGGCUUUGAUUAAGUCUCAGAAAGUGGAUUUGGCCUAUUUACAAGAAACUAAGAUGCCAGAAAUGUCUAUGGGGUUAGUGUGUAGUCUUGGUGUGGGGUGGUUUUUAGAAUGUGGGGUGAUUCUUAGAAUGGGCAGUGGUGAACUUGAGUGGUGUUGAUGGAGGUAUUCUGGUGUUUUGGAAUAAUAGGAUGCUACAACUGGUUAGUUUGGAAGUGAGGAAGUUUUUGGUUUUGUGUCAGUUUAAAAAUUGCUAAGACGAUUUUAGUUGAAGUGUUACAAGGGUUUAUGGGCCGACAUUGAAGAGAGAGAGAGAGAAUUUUUUUGGAGUGAAUUAGAGGCUAUAAAAGGUCUUUGGGGUGAACCUUGGUGUGUUGUAGGUGAUUUUAAUUUGAUUAGAUUUCCUUGCAAAUGUAGUAGUGGAGGUAGACUGCCUUAAAGGAUAGGGAGGUUUUCUGAAGUAAUUGAGGACUUACAGCUGACAGAUUUGCCUUUAAUGGGGGACCCUUUUACUUGGAGCGGUGACCUGAAUGAUCAAAUUAAGUCUAGGCUUGAUUUUUUUCUUGUGUUUGAGGAGUGGGAAAAUCAUUUCAAUGGGACAAUGCAGUGCGUGAUCCCUAGACCAGUGUGUGAUCCCUAGAACGGUGUCUAAUCACUUUCCUAUUUUGUUGGAUGGGACAAGGAUGAAGAGAGGCCCUUUGCCUUUUAGAUUUGAAAAUAUGUGGUUAAAAGAGGAGGGGUUUAAGGAUUUGUUAAAUCUUGGUCUAAGGGGUUUAACUUUAGCGAUUCUUCCAGUUUCAUUUUGGUUGCAAUGGUGAGAGCAUUGAAGUUUAACUUGAAAAACUAGAAUAGAGAAGUUUUUGGGCAAACUGAAGUUAGGCAGGCUAUGGCGUUGGAACAAGUGGUCUUUUAGGAUUCAAAGGAGAGGUCCCGUAGUUUGUCCCUUAACGAGGUAGAAGCAAAAAAGGUAGCGAGGAAGGAGUAUAUAAAGGAGGUCUUGUUGGAAGAAAUUUCUUGGAGACAGAAAUCAAGGUAAGUAUGGUUAAAAGAAGGGGAUAGAAAUAUUAGUUUUUUCCAUAAGAUGGCUAAUGCCCACAACAGAAGGAAAUUUUCGGCGAGAAUUAAGAUAAAUGGAAUGUGGUUUUUCGAGGAGAAGGAUAUUAUGGAAGUGGUGGUUCAAGAUUUUUAGCAUCUACUUUCUGAUUCAAGGGAUUGGAGACCAAGUUUAAAUGGCCUUUUGUUUCAGGAUCUUAAGGCUCAAGAGGUUGCUUGGUUAGAGGAGCCUUUCUCAGAGGAAGAGGUCUUUAAUGCCCUUUCGGGUUUUAACGAGGAUAAAGUGCCAAGGUCGAAUCAUUUUGCCAUAGCCUUUUGGUAGUUUUCUUGGGAUUUUGUCAAGGAUGAGAUGAUGGGCCUUUUUUGGGAGUUCCAUGAGCUUGGCAGUUUUGAGAAGAGUUUGAAUGCCACUUUUUUGGAUUUUAAUUCAUAACUAAGGAUUUAAGGGAUUUUUUGGUCAAGUUGUUAGCCAAUAAACUAAAAAAAAAAUGGUUCAAAAAAUAGUUUCCACAACUCAGUGCAUUGUGGCAAGGAAGUAAAUAUUGGAUGUAGUGCUUAUUACUAAUGAGGUCAUUGAUUCGAUUUUAAAAAGUAAUGAGAGUGGUAUUUUAUGCAAACUAGACAUAGAGAAGGCUUUUCAUCACAUGGACUAGUCCUUUUUGUUUUCGGUUUUGCAAAAAAUGGAUUUUGGGGUGAAGUGGAUUGGAUGGAUUAAGCGGUGUAUCUCCCCUCAGGUUUUGGUGAAUGAAACCCCCUCAAGUUUUUUUCCAAGGGGAUCCUUUUUCGCCCUAUUUAUUUGUGAUUGCAAUAAAGGGUGCUCAGAUGUCUCUUGAAGAGGGCAGUGGUUGGAGGUUUCUUAUUUGGUUGUUAAAUGUAGGGUAGGAAUGGGGAAGGUGUUCAAAUUUCCUAUUAUUGUUUGCUGAUGACACUCUAAUUUUCUGUAAGGCUUCUCGGGAUCAAAUAACUUAUUUAUGUUAGCUAGUUAUGUGGUUUGAGACGAUUUUAGGGUUAAGGAUUAAUCUGGAGAAAAGUGAGUUAAUUCUUGAGGGAAUGGUGGAAAAUUUAGAUGAUCUAAUUGUUGAGCUUGGGUGUAAAGUGGGUAAUCUCCCAUCCUCUUAUUUGGGUCUCCCUUUGGGUGCUCCGCUUAAGUCUACGAUAGCUUGGGAUGGAGUAAAAGAGAGGUUUCACGACAGGUUGUUCAUGUGGAAGCAACAAUAUAUUUCCAAAGGGGGGAGAAUUACUUUAAUUCAAAGUAUUUUAUCUAAUUUGCUCAUUUAUUUUAUGUUUUUGUUUUGUAUGCCAAGGAUUGUUAGAUUAAGGGUGGAACAGAUUUAGAGGAACUUUCUAUAGGGAGGUGGGGUGUUAGAGCGUAAACCUCAUCUUGUUAAGUGGGUGUUUGUUUGCCAAGACAAGAGGAAAGGGGGUUUGUGUGUUAAAAGUCUUUCAAUUCUUAAUAAGGCUCUUCUUUGCAAGUGGAGUUAGCAUUUUGCAAAUGAGAAAAGGGACUUUUGAAAUCAGGUUAUCUAUGGNNNNNNNNNNNNNNNNNNNNNNNNNNNNNNNNNNNNNNNNNNNNNNNNNNNNNNNNNNNNNNNNNNNNNNNNNNNNNNNNNNNNNNNNNNNNNNNNNNNNUGGAAAGCGAUAAGGAAGGAUUGAGAUCUUGUGAGAACUAGGUGUUCCUUUUUGGAGGGUAAUGAGCAGAGGGUGCUUUUUUGGAAGGAUAAAUGAUGUGGGUAUAAUCUGUUACAUGUAUUGUUUCCUUCUUUAUUUGCUUUAGCCAUUUCCAAGGAUGUGUGGGUGGAGGAGGAUGUUUGGAAUUAUUGAGCUAAAGGGGGGUUGGAAUCCUUGUUUCUCUAAACCUUUUAAUGAUUGGGAGGUGUAUUGCAUGGAGAGAUUUUUGGCAAGUUUGCAUGGACAAAGAGUGGGUAGGGAUAUACGGAAGAUACUUUCUUUUGGUUAGUGACAAAGAGUGGCAAGUUUACAGUUAAGUCCCUCUACUACACUUCGGAACCAAACAAUGGUAGGUCUUUUCCAAUGUGCAGAAUUUGGCUUUCUUGGGUCCAACCUAGAGUUAGCUUUUUUGCAUGGGAGUUAGAGUGGGGUAAAGUUCUAACUUUGGAUCAAAUUUAGAGACGAGGAUGGUUGCCUUGUGCGUGAAGAUUCCAUAUAUCAUCUACUUCUCCAUUGUGAAUAGACAAGGUGGGAGCUGUUUUUUGUGCUUUUUGGGGUGUCUUGGAUGCUAUCUUCAUUGGUUAGAGAGCCUUUACUAGGGUGACAUGAUUCUUUUGUGGACAAAAAGCACAAGAAGGUUUGGAAAGCAAAGCCUUUAUGCUUGUUUUGGACAGUUUGGAAGGCAAGGAAUAAAAUUGUGUUUGAUAAUGAGAUGUUUUCUUUCCAAAUGUUGAAAAGGGAUUUUGUUUGCUUUCUUUGGUUAGAGUCUAAGUUGUUUAUAGAGGAUCGUCCAUUGACUUUAGUAAGUUUUUUUGAAUGGUCGGGUACUUGUUAAGACUCUAUUCUUGUUUGAGCCUUGGUGGUAAAGGGAGGUUUGUUUCAUGUAUACCUUGAGUCACUCUUUUGACAGCUCUUUUUAAUUCAAUUUGAUUCUUUAUUUAUCAGAAAAAAAAAAAAAGUAACUUUUGCUUAGACCCAAACAUUUUGAUCAAAUUUCACAUUGUGCUAUAGAUAUAGGUCCCACUAUCGAUCUUUUUCCAUCAUUCUUUUUUUUCUUUUUCUUUUUUUUUUUUAAAAUAUCAUGUACUAUGUAUAUAUUCAUCAUUUUUUUUUUCUCUUCAAAUUUUGUUGAGCAACAUUAACACCUAAACUUUGACUAGUUCAUGUGAUAAAAUCUGAGAUAUGACUUUUGGUCCUCAAAAUUUGGACCUUGCACAUCUCAAAAUUUCAUGCCAAAAACAUGCUAACUAGCAGAGAGGGCAAGGCAACAAUGGAACCUCUUGAUAACCUUACUAAAGGAACAAUGAUACAGACCCUUAAAUCUAUGUUCUAUAACCUUAUAACUUUCAAUAUUCAAUAAACUAAUACCCCUUAAUGUUUAACAUUCUUCCAAUGAACCUAUUUAGUUCCAUGUUCUCCAAUAAUUACUAGUCAACAAUAUUUUCCAGAUAUGCCUAUGUAAUAAAUCCCACAAAAUAGUUAUACUAGACAUCCCUUGUAUUUUUGUGGGUCAAUAUGCUAUUCAUUUGCCAAUUAUGUUGAGCAAUUUUACAUUUCUAUAAUGGCUGUUUUGAUCCUAUGACUUGCCUUCAUUCAUAAUUAUACUGAUUAAAAAAAAAAAAAAUCUUUGACAUAAAAAAUAGCAUUAUAUUACUUACCGAAGAUCUUAAUGUCAUCUACGCAACUGCAAUUAAAUAACGCAUUGAUUGUUCUACCCCAAAAAAUUGUACUAAUUUGGCAAAUGAAAUCUAACCAAUUCCAUAGAUAAUCUAUACAGCCUGAAAGAGUAGCAUUUGUACAUGAUGGUCAUGAUUCAACAACAGAAAACAAAGCAAUCGAAGAUUAUGAAAAAAAAAAUAAAUAAAUAAAUAAAAUCCAACAACAACAACAUCAAAAUUACCCGCCAAAGGAAGCCGAAACUCUAAAGCGUUUGCAGACGGGGCAAGUGAUGUAAGGCAAAGAAACUCGAAAUUGGGGAAGGAAUGUGGUCCCUUUACUCAGCUCCAUCAUCUGAAAACACCUCUACCACCCCAAAUCUCAUCUCACAGGAGAAACGACAGAGAAGAUGAAUAGGGGUUUUGAACUUUUGAUUGAGAAAUUGGAGAAAUUAGAGAAUAGAAGUAAAGAAAGGGUCUUUUUUAUUUUUUUAUUUUUAUUUCAAAUAAAGAUGAAAUUGGAAAAGGAGCUGUAUGGAUAUGGAUAAAUGAUGUCAGUUGCUUCGCCUUCAAGGGAACGACUUCCCCGCUGUCCGCUAGCCAACCUCAAUGUUCGAAUAUGGGUCCAUCUCUGAUCUCUCUAGAAUUUAUAUAUAAACUUGGUUGGCUCCACAUGGAAAGCACGUGGACAAGUUAGGCUUAAUAUUAUAUAAAUAUGAAUUUUUUUUAAAAAAAAAAAUUAUCAGUUUUGUUUAAAUAAGAUUUUUUGGACACAAUAUUUUACAAAAUUUGUAGAAAACUAAAAUAAUAAUUUUAUUUUAAAUUAAAAUAAAGAGAUUAUAUUUUAAUUGGUAUUUAUAAAUGUUACAAAAAGGUAAAUCUCAUUUUUAUGACACUGCCAUGAUUAUAAAAUAACUAAAUUUUGAAUUUUUUAAAAUUGAAUUUUAAAUUAAAAUAAUUAUUUAGAAUUUAAAAUUAAUUUAUCUUCAUUUUAUAAUUCUAUGCAAAUAAAUAAUUUAUUUAUUAAAAAAAAAACUAGUUUGAUAAAAUUUCUAUAAUUUUAUUAUUAUUUUUGAAGGAGAACCCUUAAUACAAGCAACAAGAUAAUUAUCAAAGUUUUCAGAAUCAAAUCAAUCAUUGAACUAGAAAAGUUAUCAAUUCAUUAAUCGGACCGACGAUCGAACCGGUGAUGUCAUAAAUAUAUAUUUUAUAUAUUAUUAAAAUUAAAAUAAUAAAAAAAUUAUGAAUAUUAAAUAUUAAACAUAGUAUCAAAAUUAUAAUCAACAAAAAAAAAAACAUAUUAAAUAUAAAACAUAAAAAAUAAAAUUCAAAAAAAUAAAAAUCAAGGUGGGUGGAACUGAUGCAGCCACGCGGCUUUGCUUGGUUGGCAUAGUUGUUGCGAGGAGAGGGAUGAAGUGAGACUUUAUACUUGUCAAAACGGCAUCGUUUUGAUGCUGGGAAAAAAAAUCAAUUGAACCAUCCAAUUCGAAGGGAAUCAUUCGAUUCGUCUGAUUCGGAGGGAAUCGGUAGAUUCAUUGAUCAGACUGUCGAUUCAACCGAUCCGAUUCCGGUUCAACCCAUUUCCAACCCAAUUGGCUGGACCGGAUUAGAACUGUGAUCGGUCGGUCCAAUCCAUUUUUUAAAACCAUGAUAAUUACAUGGUUGGUGGUAGAAUUCAAAAUAAUCUUAGACUCCAAAAAAUAGUGUUUGUUGAAAGUUAAUGUUUUAAUGUGUGUUCAGCGAUAGAUUGCAUUUUUCUAAAUCAAAUAAUUAGUCUUAAUAAAUGGUUAAAGGCAUACUAUUACACCUAGAAAACAUUGACAAAACAUUUGGAUUGUAGCAAAACAAAAGAUUAUCAACAUUCACAAUUUAAUUCUUAAGAUAAACACCAAUCCAAUAAAACUCAUCAUGGUAAACAACAAAACAGUCCCAAUUGAAUUUUCUAAUAAUGAAUAUCAAGCAGUGAAGCAAUACAAACCAAGUUUCAUAAGACAAACUUAUGGAAAGAAAUCAAUUGGUUUCCUAAAGAAAUCAAUUACCAAGUUUCAUAAAACUAACACAAGCCAAUCCAAUACAACCCAUUUCAGUUUUUUCUAUCGAUUACAAUGCAUGGAUAAUCAAUCUUGUGAAAUGGAAACCAUAUUAGUAGUGAGCUGUCUCAAAAUGGAAGCAACAAUAUUGAGUAGGUUGGUUUAAAAACAUCUAUCUACCUUCUGCCUUUCUCGAUCAGUUGUUCAGUCAUAAUCUUAUGGCUAGAAUUUCCUAUAAAUAAUGUGAUCAUGUUAUGAUUUAGAUUGUAUCACAUAAAUGAAAAUAUUAAAAUAGUUAGAUAUUAAUACUUGAUUUUUAUCAAGUUAUAUCAUUAAUCAUAAUGCUAUUUCUUUUUUUCUCUAAUUUGUCUAUAUUUUCAUUCAAUUUCUUUCUAGCAUAUGUUUCUCAAUUUUUUUGGAAGAAUUUGGGUUCAUAUUCUUUGACAAUAAAUCAAUCCUAAAGCAACAUAAUAACCAAAAUAGAUAUAAACAAACUAUAUUAUUGUAGACAUUACAUUUCAAAAGCAAAUAUAUAAGAACGAACAAUAGAAAGAAACAUAUAAUAAAAAAGAGAACAUAGAAAAAAUAAAACAUGAAACGUAGUAAAAGAAAAUGGAUUGCACAUGAAUUAUUAAUGUGUAAGAAUAAUUAAAUGAUUUAGACAAAUGAAUAGAAGUAAAUAAAAAAAAAUUGUAAAUGUAUAACAAUAUUACAAAGAAUAAGUAAUAUAAACUAAUAUAAAUAAAUAAAAUCAACAAGGUAAUAGAGGAAUAUGAAAAUAACAAGGUAUAAAACAUAUUAUUAAAAAUGAUGAACUCUAUAUUGAUUAUUAAUUGAGAAAAAUAAAUCCAAAUGACAAAGUUAGAAAAAUUAGGCUAAUCCAACCUAAGGUGGUCACCCUAGAGGAGGGGUGAAUAAGAUGAUGGUCUCUUUUUGCAAAUUUAAAUUAUAAGAAUGUAAGAGACAAAUAUAUGCAAAUAUAUAAUAAAACAAUAUAAAAACAAUUGCAUAUAAAUUAAAAGAGUAUGGAAAAAAGAAUGCAAACACAAGAUUUUUAUAGUGGUUUGGCGCAACCUGGCCUACAUCCACUCUCCUCUAACUUCAAUCCCAAGUUUGAGGUUCCACUAUUUUAAGACUUCCAAACCAAGUCUUCAAACAAUACAAUUGGAUUAUGAUUCCAAUAUACCAUUUUGGACUUUUGGCUCUAAACACCCUUUACAAUCUUCAAGAGAUACCCUACUCUUGAAAGACCUCUCAAGUGAUACCUCACACUUAGAUUCUUCCUCUCACAGAUAUACAAAUAAUUUAACAAAAUCCUAGUACAAAACUUGAGGCUCGAAUGAUACAAGAAAACUAGGAUUGAAUGGUGCACUAAUGAUAAGAAAGUUUUAGAACAAUGGUGCACUAAAAAACACUCUCUCAAGGCUCAAAUAUAUUCAAGAAAGGUUUAGGAAAGUUAAACUCAUGAAACAAUGAAUAUUGAAGUCUUUUUAUAGAGGAAAAAAAACCAAACUAGUUGUUGGGGGUUCAACCGGUUGAGUAGUUGUUAACAUUUAAUGUUUGACAGGUGACCAUUAGACCUCGACCGAACCUCGACCGGUUGAGGUGGGGAUUGAUCAGUUGAGGCUCAACCUUGAUCGGUUGAACAACCGUUUUGGAAGAGAGAGAAGGUUUUUUGCAUCCCUCGACCAAUUGAGUUGGGGAUCAACCGGUUGAGUUGUUUUUGGCUCAAUAACCAUCAUUUUCAACUUAAAACCUUUUAAACAAAUUUUGAAAACAUUUGACUCAAGGUUUUAGUUGAAAACAUGUAAUGCAUGAUUUUGAUGACCACCAUCCGAGUUUAAAAUAUUUAAAACAAAAUAACUCUUGGAUGAUUUUGAUGCAUAAAUAAAUAAUGUAAUGCAUAGUGCACCAACAACCUUACAAAGAGAACCUAUGAAGUUUAGGUCUUGAAAAACACUUCUCUUUGAGGUAUUCUUCUUCUUAUUGAUUUCUCUUUGACUUGAUUUUGUCUUUGUGAUUGCCAUUUUGGAAAUCUUCUUGCCUAAUCACACUUGAAAAAUAAUAAUUAGUUUUAAACCUUAUUUUGUUAUCGUCAAAACCGAGAUUAACCAAACCUUGGUUUCACAAAAGUAAUUAUAAAUUAAGUAGUGAGUGGGUGGGCCUUGAUUUCUUCACAUUGGUGAGUCUUUUAAAGGAUAUUUACUAAGAUGAUGGCAAGUUGGCAAUGAAGGUUUCUCAGGGGAGAUGAGAAAGCAAUAAGGGGGCUUGGCCUCCUAUGUGUUGUACAAUGUUUACUAACUGAUUGUAAUAUAUAUCUAUAUAUAUAUAUAUAUAGGUUUUGAGUUAUUGGUAUUGGAGCUCAAAGUUGAUCUUAGAAUAUUUACCUAACUAGAAAGUGGAAACUAUUAUGGGUAGAAGAAUUUUAUUUUAAGGUCAACUUGUUGAUAAGUACUGAGGAAUGAUAUUUUUUUUUACAUGUUUUCUUAUUCUUUAUUGCACUUUUUUAAAUGCAAUGUGUAUACUUCCCAUGUAAUGGGUUAUGUGUUCUCCUCAAUGUGCCUUAUUUAAUGUUUUUUAUGCAAAAAAAUAAAAAAUAAAAUCCUCAACGUUUAUAUCUAAUUAUAUAUUUUUAUGGUAAUGUUCAGUACUUAUGAAAUUUAGACCCUUAAACAAAAUUCUCUAGAAAUCCCUAUUUCUAAGGAGUGCGUUGAAACCAUAGGUUUACUCAUGCACUCAUGCCUAGUGUGAUUUGUGGACAUGAGUUGUAUAAUCCCUACGUUACAGGCAUAAGUGAAGGGAUCAGAUCACUACAAUCUCUCCACUCUACAUGGUCAACUUUCCAUGGGUAUUUCUAAACAAAUUUAGAUCAUAUAUGGGCUCUAUAUAUAAGAGAUCCUUUAUAACCAUUUCGAUAUAGCAAUUGAAUAUACAGAUACCAUUAUACAAAUUAUUCUCUUUCUCGUCAACAUGGUAUCAGAGUGGGUUCAUUUAUGCUCUUUGGUAUCAACUCCUUGAUUAUAGCCAACUCGCGACAACCCAACGAUGACCUAGAAAAAUGAUUGAAUCAAACUCUCAGAUAGGAGGGUUUCCACCAACAACAACCUUUGUUUUAUCAGAACUCACCAUGAAGAUGGUCGAGGUGCUGAACAAGGCCUCAACCCUAACUUUAGUGGCGAAUACUGCCCUGAUCAACAUAAAACUCGAUGGAUUGAAUUAUGCACUAUGGUCCCAAGUUGUGGAGAUGUUUAUCUUUGAGAGAGACAAAUUAGGGUACAUUAACGGUGAUUUACCCCAACCUGUUUCAACAGAUCCAUCAUUCCGAUGAUGGAGAACCGAAAACGUCGUGGUCAAAGGCUGGCUCAUCAACACCAUAGAUUCAUCCCUCGUUAGCACAUUCAUCCAGUAUCCCACUAUGAAAGAAGUUUGGGAUGCCAUCGCUAUCAUUUUCUUCGACGGGAGUGACACUGCUCAGGUGUAUGAGCUUCGACGACAAGUGAGUAGGAUAUGAAAAAAUGAUGGAUCUCUGGAGAAAUUUUGUAACGAGCUGCAAGGUUUGUGAAGGGAAAUAGAUUUUUGGUGGCUAAACCCCAUAGAGUGCCUUAAAGAUGUGCAAUGGUACACCGCAAUUCUCCAGAAUGAGAGGGUCUAUGUGUUUCUCAAUGGCCUUGAUGAUCGACUCAACCAAGUUAGGAAAGUCAUGCUAUAGAUGUAGCCAUUUCCAACGAUUGAGCAAGCCUAUGCGUGCGUCUGAUAGGAAAUGGUGCGACAUAUAGUAAUGGGGAAUGGUUUUAAUGAAAGAAUGGGAGCUGGGCUGAUUUCCAAGGGGCUGAAAACGAGCCUGAGCCCAUUUGGAAAAAAAAGAGCUUUAGUACUCAAUAAAUCUAAUCCCACUGGCCCAAGUUCAAAGCAACGGACAGAAAGCUUAAAGUGUUCCCAUUGUGGAAAUUCCAAACACACACAAGACACUUGAUUUAAACUCCAUGGAUACCUAGACUGGUGGCACGAGCUCUAGAUUAAAAAGAAACAUGAUGGCACCAAUAUUGAUCCCAAUACUGGUAAAACGAUAGUAACAGCAACAGAACCCCUACUGUCUCUAAUUCCUACUAACUCUACCAACAACAUGCCAGGUAUAACAUCUCUUGGAUCUACUAGAAGCGGUGAGUGCAACUUGUGGAUCCUGGACUCCGGAGCCACGAAUCAUAUGACAUUUGAUGCAUAGGACUUUUGCUAGCAUACCACUCUUAGGCGAACUAGCAUUGAGAAUGCUAAUGACACUAUUUCAUUGGUACAAGGGGCUGGAACUGUGAUGCUAUCACCAGCCCUGUCACUCUCCAAUACAUUAUUUGUGUCAUCCCUAUCUCAUAAAUUGCUUUCUGUCAGUCAACUUACUAAGGACUUAAAUUGUACAACACUGAUGUACCCUGAUUUUUGCCUUAUCCGGGAUAUUCUCAAAAAGGAAAUUAUUGGGCAUGGUACUAAGUAGGGGGGCUCUACUAUAUGGAUGACUUCAGUAUGGGACAUGCACAUCAUAUGGGACAGUCGGUGAUUCCAGAAUAGAACAGAUCUGGCUCUAGCAUCGACGGCUCGACCAUCAGUCAUUUGGGUAUUUAAAGCGUUUACUACCUAAUUUAUUUUAUGAUUUCUCUAUCUCACAUUUUCAAUGUGAAACCUGUAUUUUGGCCAAAAGCCAUUUGACAAUUUAUCCUUUACAUAAGAAUAAGAGUGAUGUUCCUUUUAGCUUAAUUCAUUCUGAUGUGUGGGGACCAUUCCCAAAAUUUGCUCUAUCGGGUUAUUGUUGGUUCGUUCUCUUUGUUGAUGAUUGCACUCGAAUGACGUGAAUCUACCUACUGAAAAACAAAGAUGAGGUUUUUACUACCUUCUGCUCUUUUCACACAAUGAUUCAAACCCAAUUUUCUACUUAACUCAGAGUCUUUCGCUCUGACAAUGAUGGUGAAUACAUGAAUCGACAAUUCUAGGAGUACUUCCACCAACAUGGGUUGAUACAUCAAACCUUUUGUCCCCAGACUCCAGAGCAAAACAAUGUAGCAGAAUGUAAGAAUCACCAUAUUCUCAAGACCACACGUGCCAUUCUAUUAGGUGUAUAUGUACCUAGUUCUCAUUGACCUGAUGCGGUUACGAUUGUCGUGCAUCUCAUCAAUAGGAUGUCAUCCCGGAUUCUGGGUUUCAAGACACCUUUACAUGACUUAGUUGCGAGUAUAUCAUUGCUUCCGGCUACAAUGCUUCCUCCCUGAACCUUCGGAUGCAUUGUCUACAUUCAUUUUCACCGCAACCAGUGCACCAAACUCGACUCUUAUGCUCGUUGCUGUCUUUUUCUAGGCUUUGCCACCAAUCAGAAAGGCUACCGAUGCUAUGAUCUAACCAACGGGCGGCUCUAUGUUACUAUGGAUGUCACCUUCCUCGAGUCCGAGAUGUUCUAUCAUCAUCCAAUUCUUCUCUUUAGGAUGAGACACACAAUGAAAAACUGGAUUGGUUCAAGGACAUCCCAUUGACUAUAGAGCCACCAAGUACCAUGGAUAUGGAAUAAAAUAUUGAGACACCAACUCUGAUCGUUGAGACACCCCCUCAUUCUACAGUACCUCAUGACCCAACUUUUGAGAAUAUUCUUGAAGAGAUUCCUGAGGUAAGUUCUCCUCUUGUCAUAAAACAUCUAACUGAUGAUGGUUAUCAGUUACCUUCCAUGCAUAAUCGUGGCAAGCCAUCAGAAUGCUACUCUCCAUAUAUUGAGACACACAAAUCAAAGUACCUGAUUUCCAAUUACGUCUCAACAGAGAAGCUCUCAGAACCCUUAAAGAGAUUUUCUAAUGAAUUAUCGGUGCAUCACAUUCCUACAAGCAUAGAGGAGACUCUACGGGACCCUUAGUGGGUCCAAGCGAUGAAGGAAGAAAUGGAAGCAUUGUUGAAAAACAAGACAUGGAUUCUUGUCCCUUUACUAAAAGGUCAUAAGACAGUGGGGUGCAAAUGGGUAUUCUCUAUCAAAUAAAAGGCAGAUGGGUCGAUUGAGCGCUACAAAGCGCGACUUGUAGCAAAAGGAUGUACAGAGACUUAUGGAGUUGACUAUAUGGAGACCUUCUCACCUGUAGCCAAGUUGAACACUGUAAGAGUCCUUCUAUCCCUUGUAGUGAACCUUGAUUGGCCAUUACUCUAAUUUAAUGUAAAAAAUGUGUUCUUCCACGGUGACCUCGAGAAAGAAAUUUAUAUGGAUAUUCCCCCUAGGUACACUGAAACGUUUGGCAAGGCGGUGUGUAAACUACAGUGCACCCUGUAUGGCUUGAAACAAUCUCCACGAGCUUGGUUUGGACAUUUUAGCCUAGUAAUGAGAAAGUACAGGUUUCAACAGAGCAAUUAUGAUCACACUCUAUUUCUAAAGCAUCGUCAAGGCAAGGUAACAACACUAAUAGUGUAUGUAGAUGAUAUGAUCAUCAUAGGAAAUGAUACCGAGAAAGUUGCGAAACUUAAAAAAUAGUUGGCAUCAAAGUUUGAAAUGAAGAGAUUGGGUGAGUAGAAAUAUUUUCUAGGAAUUGAGGUGGCUCAAUCUAAACGAGGUAUCUUUCUUUCCCAACGAAAGUAUACCCUCGAUCUAUUAUCAGAAGUUGGAUUGCUAAACUGUAAACCGACAGAUGUUUUGAUACAACAGAAUCACAUGCUUGGAGAACACCCUAACCAGAUCCCCACUGAUAAAGGUAGAUAUCAAAGACUAGUUGGAAAAAUAAUUUAUCUUUCACAUACCUGACCUGAUAUUGCCUAUCUGGUCAGUGUAGUGAGUCAGUUCAUGCAUUGCCUGAGUGAAGACCAUAUGAAUGUAUUGACUCAAAUUUUGAGAUAUCUUAAGGGAACCCUAGGAAAUGAAUUGUGUUAUCAAAGAAUAGGCACUUGGAAAUUACGGGGUAUAGUGACGUUGACUGGGUAGGAAAUAUCUCCGAUAGGAAAUCCACAUCCAACUACUUCACAUUUGUUGGAGGAAACCGGGUAACAUGGAGAAGUAAAAAAUAGAAAGAAGUAGCACUAUCUAGUGUAGAGGCGGAGUUUUGAGGAAUGGCUAAAGGGUUGUGCGAGUUACUCUGGUUUAGAAAAUUGUUGACAGAAAUUGGCUUUCCUCCUAGUUGCGAGAUGAACUUGCUUUGUGAUAACAAGACAACCAUUGAUAUUGCCCAUAACCCAGUCCAACAUGAUUGAACUAAGCAUGUGGAAGUAGACUGACAUUUUAUCAAGCAUAACUUAGAAGCUAAGAUAAUUCAAUUCCCAUUUGUUAAAGUGUAGUAAGAUAUUUCACAACUCACUUGACAAGUUGGGCAUCAACGACAUCUAUGCACCAACUUGAGGGGGAGUGUGGACAUGAGUUGUAUAAUCCCUACAUUAUAGGCAUAAGCGAAGAGAUUAGAUCACUACAAUCUCUUCACUCUAUAGAGUCAACUUUCCUUGGGUAUUUCUAGACAAAUUUAGAUCAUAUAUGGGCUCUAUAUAUUGAGCUCCUUUGUAACCAUUUCGAUAUAACAAUUGAAUAUACAUAUCUCAUUAUACGAAUUAUUCCCUUUCUCAUCAACAUGAUUUUAGGGUUCAUGCCUUCUAGCCUUUUAUGCCCCAAAAAUACCCUCUCGCUUCACUUUUCGUUUCCUUUCUACCUCAUUAUUUCCUUUACAACUACAUCAACUCAAAUAUGAUUAUUUAAUAAAAAUUUAUUAAAUAUUUUAGUAAAAAACAAAAUAAAACUUGUAAACUCUUAAACGUUGGGGUUUAAAAAUAUAUUGUAGUAUAAUGACAACUCUAUGCACAUAUUUAUUUUGUAAUAAAAAUCUAGAUAUCACAUAAAAAAUAAUUAAUUAUUUUUUAAUUAAUUAUAAUAUUAUAUCUAAUUAUUUUUUUUAUUUAAUAAAAUUAUUUUUCAAAGUCUAAUUGAUGAGUAUAAUAUAAUUAAACAGAAUUUGUUUAAUAAGAUUUUUUCUAAAAUUUCAAAAAAUAAUAAAAUAUUAAUCAAACAAUAUUGUGGACCCCCUUUGGAGGGUAAGGGCCCGGAGGAAGUGAUUUUUCAAGACUUCUCAGAGGGGGUAGGGGACCCCCAACUGCUGACUUAUGGAUCCCUUCUCUAGGCAUGGACGUGCGGUUGCAGGUGGGCGGUUGGAAGCCCAUGCUUGCUGAUGCAUGAACAGAAAGGUUGGUGAUGGCUUGCCAAAGAAGAUAGAGAGGAAGAAGCCAGACGAAAAAGGCUGGGCUUGCCAAGGAAAAGGGAGGACAGGCAACGACUGAAAAAAAGGAGAACAGAGAGAGAUUUUUUAUCUAGGGGAAAAAACAGAGGACACCAUUAGGAGCCAUUUUGGGGUGGACAACAAACAGGUUAGUGAAUGCUAUGCUUUCGAAAUCAAUUUUCAUGUUUUAUUUCAUCUCACUAUACAUAUUCUCAUGAUUUUCUUAUGUUAUUAUUUGUCCAAGAACUGAUAUUUCGCAUAUUGGUGCAUGAGAUAAAAUAUUGGUUUCAAUGUUUUAAUAUUGAGAAGCAAGUUAACGUGACUGUAAGAUGGGAUUUUCGCUACCUAUUUAUGCUACAAAUAUUCCCAAUUUUUUUUCUUUUCUACCCCACCUGGACAAACCAAACAAUAGGAAAUGAAGAUGGAAGAAAAAGGGAAGGGAAAAGGUCUUACAGAGGGGAUGUUUGAAAAGAAUAUCUGGGUGAGAGAAUAAAAUAUAUAUAUAUAUAUAUAUAUAUAUAUAUAUAUAUAUAUAUAUAUAUAUAUAUAUAUAUAUAUAUAUAUAUAUAUAUAAACAGGGGAAUGGGAUUUUUUUUCCGGGAUUGGGAGGAAGCUCUCUAGAUGAAAGUUGUGUUUAAUUGAUUCAUCCUUGAGGAAUGUGGAAGCAUUAUUUUUGGAUAAUCUCGCGGGUGCCAUUCUCGUCGUCUUCCAUCAAAGCCAAGGAUUUUCGCCUUUUUGGACGGGAGAAGCUGGUCAACACAGUUCUCGGCGAAGGAAAACGCGUUGAUGUAUUUUUGUGGAGGAACAAGAAGAUCUCCGCCGGAGUUCUUGGCGGAGCUAUGCAGCGAUGAGAGGAUGCCGGCAAGACUGCACAGUGGGAACAUGAAGCUUUUCUCUCUCAUGAAAUGUCAUUAAGGCUAACUCCAAUUUGUCUCUGAUUUUGGGAGCAGCAUUUAAUGAGGGCACCAUUAGAAGCCUCCAUCCCAGUUCUCAUCAUUAGUCAAAUGUGUUUCAUUAUUGUUUUAUUUAUUAUUUUCUUAUUUAUCUAUUAUUAUUUUCUUAACCCAUAAAAGCUAGCCAUCACAUGAAAAGCCAUCUUGCACUCCAUGUUCUAAUUUCCAUUGUCUCCACCGACACUACCAACCCACUACCAAUCUCACCUUUUUUUUUUUAAUUCUUUCACAUUUUGAUGUCCAAAUUUAAUCUUCCAAAUUUUUAAUUUUUAAAUUUAAUUUCCAAAAUUCCAAAUUCUUUAAAAAUUAAUUUUCAAAACUUCAUUUUCUCAAUUUAAUCUUCAAAACUCUAAUUUCCAAACUUCAUUUUCUUUCAAAUUAAUUUUCAAAACUCCAAUUUCUCUCAAAUUUAAUUCCCAAAAUUUAAAUUUCUAAAUUUAAUUUUUAAAACUCCAAAUUUUCAAAUAAUUUCCAAAACUCCAAUUUUUUAUUUUUAUUUUUUAGAAAAAAUUUUAUUUUUAAACAAUUCUCCAAAAUUCUAAUUUCCAAAAUUCCAGUAUUCACAUUUAUUUAUUUAAUCAUUAUUAUUUCGUUUAUUUAUUUAUCUACUCAUUUUUAAAAAAUCCUCUCUCUAAAUAACUCUUCAAAUUUUUAAUCUAAAAAAAUUCUACUAUUCACGUUCAUUCGUUUAAACAUUAUUUUUGUUGUUAUUAUUAUUAUUCCAUAUUCAUUUAUUUAUUUAUUUUAAAAAUUCAAAUCAUUAUGGUUUAAUUAUUCAAAAAUCUUACUUCUGAAUUUAAUUUUCAAUCUAAAAAAAUUUCACUAUUCACGUUCAUUCGUUUAAACAUUAUUUUUGUUGUUAUUAUUAUUAUUCCAUAUUCAUUUAUUUAUUUAUUUUAAAAAUUCAAAUCAUUAUGGUUUAAUUAUUCAAAAAUCGUACUUCCGAAUUUAAUUUUCAAUCUCAAAAUUUUCACUAUUCACGUUCAUUCGUUUAAACAUUAUUUUUGUUAUUAUUAUUAUUAUUCCAUAUUUAUUUAUUUAUUUCUUUUAAAAAUUCAAAUCAUUAAAGUUCAAUUCUUGAAAAUCUGACUCUCGAAUUUAAUUUUCAACCUCAAAAAUUUCACUAUUCACAUUCAGCUAUUUAAUGAUGAUUUUUGUUACUAUUAUUAUCCCGUUCAUUUAUUUAUUCACAUAUUCAUAUAUUUAAAAUCCCAUCUCCAAAUAAUUUCUCAAAAUUUCAAUCUCUAAAUUCAAUCUUCAAUCUCUAAAGUUCUAUUUUUCGCAAUUAUUUACUUAAUCUUUAUUAUUUCAUCAUUAUUAUUAUUUCAUUCCUUUAUUUAUCCACUUAUUUGUUUAUUAAAAUUCCGUCUUUAAAUAAUUUUUCAAAAUUCCGAUUCCCAAAUUUAGCUCUCUGAAAUUCCAAGUUUAAUUUCUAAAAUUCUCAUUUUUAUAUUUAAUUUCUAAAAAUCUAAUCUUCAAAUAAUUUCUAAAACUCCAAUUUUCAAAUAAUCCCUAAGACUCCAUUUUUCAAAUAAAUUUCAAAAUUCAAUUUUCUCUCAAAUAGUUUUAAUUCUAUUCUGGUUUUCAAACAAUCUUCUACUCCUCUUAAUUUUAAUAAGCAUGAAUGAACUUUUCAUAAUUCUGGAAUAAUAGAAUCUGUGAUAUUAAUUCAUGCAAAAUAAACGGGUUUUGGUGGGGGCCCCACAUAUGUGACUGAUCGAUCGAUUGACAGAUAGAUCGAUUUGAUUAUAAUACAUGAUUGAUUUAUCCUGCUCUAUGAUAUGCUCGAAAUUAUUCAUUAAUUGUGCACUAACCUCACUUCUUGAUAGCGCAUUGUGGCUUACUGCCCAGGUACGCAUCCACAUCCGCUCUGGUCAUUUUCGGUAUGCAUGUUUAGAUUCUCACGUGUGCAUGAUCACUCUAAGUAUUCAUUGAUUUCCUCAUCAAUUGUCAUGAUUGCUUCAUUUGAUUAGUAGAGAUCCGACUUUAGGAACUUAAAGGGGUGCUACGGUCUGUACCAUAUCUUCCCGAUAAGUAACCUGACCCCCGAACCCGAUGCGGUUUUUCGUAGACCGCCUUUUCCAAAAUAAGGAGUCACACUUAGGGUUUUUCUUUCUUAUUUUGUUUACCCUUUUAAAAAUAAAACAAAAAUAAGUGGCGACUCCAAGUCAUUUUUCUUAAUCAAUAAAAUCAAUUUUUCAAAUAAAAAUCGAGCUCGCCAUCGAGUGGAAGCGCAUGAGCCGAAAUGCGGGGUCCACAAAUAUUUUCUAAACUUUUAAAAAGGUAAAAUAAUAAUGUGGGAUUUCCAACUGUAGCCAAAUUAGAAUGAAAAGAAAUUAUACUUCAAUCAUAAUUUACUAUUAAAAAAAAGUAUUAAAACUAUGCAUGAAAAUAGGAGUAUUUAUAAUACAAAAAAAAAAAAAAGUAGACCUAAUUUUAUGACACUUACCAUAAUUAAAAAAUAACUUAUUCUUAAAUUUUUUAAAAAUAAAUAAAUUCAAAUAACAAGUAUUGAAUCUAAAUAUCAAUAGGAGCAUCAAGUUUGACCAAAGAACAACCUCUUCUACAUACAUAGUUGAUGGGUGAAACACUAAUAAAAAAUAAUAAUAUAAACUUCAACUUUAUUUAUCUAAUUUAUUUAUCUGGGUUACCUAAUUCUCUCCUUAAUUUAUUCAACAUUAAUGUAGGUAUUAUUUAUUUAUCUAUUAUUAAAUAAUAAAAAUAAGUAAAUAAUAUGAUAAACUAUAAUUAUUAUUAUUAUUUAAGCAAUAAUUUUAAAAAUAAAAAUUCAAGGUGGAGUUGUCUUUGUGCAGUCCAUAACGUUUCUUUGAUUUAACUAUCAUUAAAAAAAUAAAAAUAAAAUAAAAUCAUGCUUUAAAAGAAAAUGUUUAAAUGCAAAUACUUAAAAGUAAUAAAAUUACGCUUUUUAACAAAUAAUUUUAUAUUACAAUAUAUUUGAUUGUAUAAUGCAUAUCCACUAUCCACAUAACAUAAAAUGGAUAGUUGCUCCAUUUUUAUAAAAUCUUUAUUUUAUCCCUUAACUACCAUUCCAUCCUGGUUUUGAUCAUUUUGCCCCAAGUCCCGAUCACAUUGUCACCGAUUUUCACAAUUCUCAAAGCCUCACUCCAAAACAAAAUAAAAUCAAACAUGCUUCUUUUUUUCUCUAUUUCUCUUUGCCUUUUACACUGUCAUAUAUAGGGAGACUUCAUUUUAUAAUGUGUUUGAAAUUCAAGUUUGCAUAGGUUUUGAUGGAAGAAGGAGAUUUUUAGAGUUACGAAUAAGAUUUUUUCUUGUUUUUAUAUAUUUUUUUCUUUCAUUUUGUCUUUUGUUUUUUCCAUUCAAUUCCCUAGAAAAUGUAAAGGAAGAGUUGUUGAAAUCUGCAAUCCAAAAUUUUAUUAUUGUGGUGUUUCUAUGCACCUGUCUGCUUUGUUGAAAUUUGCAAGCCUAAAUUUAUUAUUAUUGUGUUUUGUAUGCACAUUUGUUUGGUUACCAAGAAAUUUGGGGAAAGAUUUUUUUUCAUGUUCUCUCAUCUUCAUUUAAUCUAUUUAUUUUCCUCAAAAAAUAUGGGGAAAUUAUUGGAAGUUAGGGGCCUAUUUGGUUGCUGUUUUUGAAAACUGUUUUGGAAAAUAGUUUUUGAGAACAGUUUUUAAGAACAGUUUUUGGUGUUUUUUAAAAAAAAAUUAUGUUUGGGAACUGAAUUUUAAAAAACAGUUUUUGUUCUCAAAAACAAAAAAACAUGUUUGGUUGAGUUAAUAAAAAAAAAAUUUAGAACAAAUAAAACAAAAAAUACGUUUGAAAGAUGUUUUUUUUUUCUUUUCUAAUUAAUAAAAUAUUUUCUUCAAGUAAUUUUAUAUUAUAAAUUUAUAAAUAAUUUUUAGAUAUAUAGUUCAUUUAAAUUAAAAAAAUUAUUUAUUUUAUUAAUUUAAAAAUAAAAAUAUUUUUUAUAUUUUUUUAAAAUAAAUCAAACAUAAUAAAAUUAUUUUUAUUAAUAUUUUUUUAUUUAAUCUUUAACUUUAUUAAAAAUUAUAGCAUAUUCUAUUAAAUUGAGAUAAAAUUGUUCUCGUGAUUUGUUAAUUUUUUUUUUAUCUCUACUAAAACCAAAAAUUAAAAAUGCCACCCACUUCUCUCUCUCUCUC